rnacentral:lncRNA from 1 species
UUUCUCUCUUCUAUUUUCUAUUUUCUUGCAAGCCAAACACCCUCUGAGGAUGUUUUCCCAGAGGAUGAGAGGCUAAACAUUUAGUUUCUUGGAGUAAAGGAAGCUAGGUGAAAAGUCCAGAUUAAAAGGUGGAAAGUUUCCGUGCAUUAAAUUCAGGUAGUUGGAGUCCAUAAAUGGUUUUUAAAGCCAAGGUUUUGCCUUAAAUUCCUUUGAAUCACUUUGACUGGCCAAUACAUGGUAAGCUUAAGGUCUCUGUGGAUGCUUAUUGCUAGAUCCAUAUCAGUCCAUUAGUUAUCAUGUACGAGCCAUUGGAAAGUGAUUCAAGGUGAUAGCCCAUAGUGUCUUAAGCCAUUAAUGGACCUUGACUACCAUCUCUAGUGACUUUUUAUGGAUUAAAAUUUCAUUGUCAAACCUAUACCGGUUCGGGAAAUAACUAUAGGUUAAAUCCCCAAUGCGAGGAGAAAAAUCCGGAAUUUUCCACUUUGCAUCUGGCACUUGAACCUAGCAACCUUCAGCUCCGGGAGACUUUCUUUCUUACACUUUUUACUUAGUUCUAUGUGAGUUUAGUUUAAAUCACCACUUUCAAAACAAUUUUAUUUUCUUUUAAACUUUAAGUUUUUGAUAAAGGAAAUCAUUAAAUUCAAUUCAUAAUCAUGAGUAUAUCAUUGGUAGAGUGAAAACCCAUCCCUGAGUUCGACCCUAGAACUGCUAUACUAUAGUAGCUUUGCUUCGCCAGUAUAAGGUCAUAGGAUUUAUAAAUGUUUUUGAUCAAAAGACCCGGCUGGGAAAUCAAACGAAUCAGGUACAUCAAGGAAUUGUCCUUGGCCAUAUCAUCUCCGAGAAAGGCAUUGAAGUUGAUAAAGCAAAGGUGGAACUUAUUGUCAAAUUGCCAUCCCCAAUAACUGUAAAAGGAGUAAGGCAAUUCCUUGGCCAUGCAGGGUUCUACAAGAGAUUUAUAAAAGACUUCUCUAAGCUUUCAAAGCCUCUUUGUGAACUUUUAGUUAAGGAUGCUAAGUUUAUAUGGGAUGAAAGAUGUCAAAAGAGUUUUGAUCAAUUGAAGGAAUUCUUGACAACCGCUCCAAUAGUGAGGGCCCCCAACUGGCAACUACCCUUUGAAGUAAUGUGUGAUGCCAGUGACUUUGCUAUAGGAGCUAUACUUGGCCAAAGAGAAGAUGGGAAGCCCUAUGUGAUCUACUAUGCAAGCAUAACAUUGAACGAAGCUCAAAGGAACUACACAAAUAUAGAGAAAGAAUUGUUAGCUGUGGUGUUUGCCUUAGACAAGUUUCGUGCUUAUUUGGUAGGGUCUUUCAUCAUUGUUUUCACUGACCAUUCAGCCUUGAAGUAUUUAUUGACAAAGCAAGAUGCAAAAGCAAGGUUGAUUAAAUGGAUUCUUCUAUUACAAGAGUUCGAUCUCCAAAUCAGAGACAAGAAAGGAGUGGAGAAUGUGGUAGCUGACCACCUUUCAAGGUUGGCUAUAGCACACAAUUCCCAUGUCUUACCUAUUAAUGAUGACUUUCCUGAGGAAUCACUCAUGUUGCUAGAGAAAACUCCUUGGUAUGCUCAUAUUGCUAACUAUUUGGUUACUGGUGAAGUUCCAAGUGAGUGGAAAGCACAAGACAGGAAACACUUCUUUGCAAAGAUUCAUGCUUAUUAUUGGGAAGAGCCUUUUCUUUUCAAGUAUUGUGCAGAUCAGAUAAUAAGGAAGUGUGUCCUUGAAGAAGAGCAACAAGGAAUCCUCAGCCAUUGCCAUGAGAAUGCAUGUGGAGGCCACUUUGCCUCCCAGAAAACAACCAUGAAGGUGUUGCUAUCAGGGUUUACUUGGCUAUCACUUUUCAAAGAUGCCCACAUCAUGUGUAGGAGUUCUGAUAGAUGCCAAAGGCUCGGGAAGCUAACAAAAAGAAAUCAAAUGCCCAUGAACCCCAUCUUAAUAGUUGAUCUCUUUGAUGUUUGGGGUAUUGACUUCAUGAGACCUUUCCCAAUGUCUUUUGGUAACUCUUAUAUCUUGGUAGGGGUGGACUAUGUUUCUAAAUGGGUUGAGGCAAUCCCCUAUAAACACAAUGAUCACAGGGUGGUUCUCAAAUUUCUUAAGGAGAACAUCUUCUCAAGAUUUGGGGAGCCCAAGGCCAUAAUCAGUGAUGGAGGUCCUCAUUUUUGCAACAAACCUUUUGAAACCCUAUUAGCCAAGUAUGGAGUGAAGCAUAAAGUAGCUACACCUUAUCACCCUCAAACUUCCGGGCAAGUGGAGCUAGCAAACAGGGAAAUCAAGAACAUAUUGAUGAAGGUGGUGAUCACAAGCAGAAAAGAUUGGUCUAUUAAGCUUCAUGAUUCAUUAUGGCCAUAUAGAACAACUUACAAGACUAUUCUUGGUAUGUAUCCCUAUCACCUAGUCUAUGGCAAAGCAUGCCAUCUCCCUGUGGAAGUUGAAUAUAAGGCUUGGUGGGCAAUCAAGAGGUUAAACAUGGACUUGAUCAGAGCCGGGGCAAAGAGGUGCUUAGACCUUAAUGAGAUGGAGGAAUUAAAAAAUGAUGCUUACAUCAAUUCCAAAGUUGCAAAACAGAGGAUGAAGAGGUGACAUGAUCAACUAAUCUCCAACAAAGAAUUCCGGAAAGGACAAAGUGUCUUACUCUAUGACUCAAGGCUCCAUAUCUUUCUUGAGAAGCUCAAGUCAAGGUGGAUAGGUCAUUUCAUUAUUCACCAAGUGCAUCUCAAUGGAGUGGUGGAAUUACUGAAUUCUAAUGGCACAGACAUCUUUAAAGUCAAUGGUCAUCGUCUCAAGCCAUUCAUUGAGCCAUUCAAGCAAGAAAAAGAGGAAAUCAACCUCCUUGAGCCACAAAAAGCCUAAUAAGAGAAGGAUUAGAUGGAUUUGGUUUCACCAAAGUCCAUAUUUUUGUUUAAUUAUGUUAAUUUAUAAGCUUUGUAAAUUGUUUUGAUUUUAAUUUUCGUCUUAAAUUGUGUUAAAUAUAUGUAACUUAAUCUUUUUGAAUGAUCAAAAUCAGGAGGAAUUGCAAGGAAAUUGAAAGAAGGAAGCUAGGAAUCAAGAGGGGCUAAAAAACAAGAGGAAAGCAUGGUCUGCGAAAUUUCGCAGCCUAAAAAGGGCCCCUACGAAAAUCGCCUCCCGCUGCGAAAUGGUUUCGCAGCCUCCUAGCGCACUCUGCGAAAAUUUUCGCAACUGUGAAGUGACCCUUUGGCACAUGAGUGCCAUUUCGCAGCCUCGUACAGCCAUUUCGCAGCUGUGAAAUGGUUGCGAAACCUCCAUGCCUUGAAAUCCUUCAUUUCGCAGUCGAGACUCCAUUUCGCAGGGUGUUUCGUAGUUGCGAAACCACCCCUUGGCACACAAGUGCCAUUUCGCAGCGUUGUACCCCCGUUUCACAACUGCGAAAUGGGUUGCGAAAAUGUUACCGAAAUGCCCCCCUCUGCGAAAACGGCCACUUGCUGCGAAAUCUGUCCCCCUCCCACUGCGAAAAUCCCUAGUUGCUGCGAAAAUGAAUAGUGACCCUUGGCGUCCCUUUUAAACGGUAUAAAUUCCAUUUUUCCUAUUCUAAACCGGUCAUUUGAACUUCAAAACGGUACCAAGAGGAGCCAAGCCAGAGCACCCUCCCGUCUGCCUCCUCCGCUUGAGCAAACCGCACGCACCUCCGACAGUUUUCUCUGACACCGCCAUGGCUAGAACUCGAGGAGCUAAGUCCUCGUCUCCAUCGACUCGCCUGAGAAUCCUAAGAGACACGCUUGUCUAAGGUUCCACCUCCGAGCCUCCGCGGCCAUGAGUCAUCCCACUUCUGGUCGAGGAUGCACCCAUCAGUCCUCCGCCCAGGCAUUAUAACACAAGGAGGUCACUUACCAUCGCCGGUGCGAGCUCUUCUAGAGGCUAAAAAUCAGGUACCGGUCCCCCAAAAAAGAAAGCCAAGGUCUCUGAGCUAAUUGAUCUAACAGAGUCGUCUUCAGAGCCUGAAUCAGAGCCUACGCCAUCUCCACCGCUUGCCAAAAAGUCUCCACCACCUGCCAAGAAGCCUCAGCCAUCUCAACCAUCUCAGCCACCAGCCAAAGAAUCUCAAAUUCCCUCAGGCAUGACCCCUAAGGUAGUUAUCAGAUGACCCAUGGUCACUCAGCCACCAAUUGAAGGGAAUUUGGAUUGCAGAGUAAGCCCAUUCCACUCCGAGCUCUGUUUCGACAUAGCCAUUUUCAGACUUCAGCCUGAGCUCAGGGAGUCCUUUCGUCUGCUACAGAGGUAUCAUAUGAAGCACUUGCUAACUCCUAGGGAUUUUUUCUAUCCCCGUGUGGCAUUGGACUUCUAUCAGUCCAUGACCACAAACCAGGUCCGAGAUCCUACAGUCAUCCACUUCACCAUAGACGGAUGCCAUGGUAUUUUGGGAGUUCGACAUAUAGCAGAGGCACUCCAUAUCCCCUAUGAGCCAGCACGUCCAGAGGAUUUUCGAGCUUGGACUCAUCCUUCACAGAGCGACAUCGUUCAUGCUCUGUCAAGAGGGGCAUCCUCACGCCACUAUAUCUUGAGGAAGGAGCUUCCUCCCAACAUGUUCUUUAUUGAUGCACUCCUCUGCCAUAACAUUUUUCCACUUCAGCAUUGGGUGCAGAGGAGAGGAGUGUUGCUGGAGGCAUUGUUUAGGAUCUUUAAGGGAUACUUCUUUGGCCCUCACCAUCUCAUCAUGGCCGCUCUUCUGUACUUUGAAGAGAAGGUGCAUCGGAAGAAGCUACUCAGACUAGAUGCCAUUCCACUUCUCUUCCCCAGACUAUUAUGCCAGAUAUUGGAGCACCUGAGAUACCUAGCAGAGCCUCAACAUGAGUGUAGAUGCAUUUGUCGAGUCGACAAAUGGACCAGUAUGACAACUUAUGGUGGUGCAGACCAGGGAGCACCAGCUGGACUAGAGCAUCCAGAGGAGCCAGUUGACAUACCUGUUGACACUUAGCCACCUGCCCCUAUAGUGGCCCCUACAGAGCAUAUACCAGAGGUUCUACCCUCUGCUCCUCAGGCCACACCACAGCCUCCUCCUGUUAUUCCACCCACAUUAGAGCCAUCUCCUUCAGCUGAGCCAAGGAUAGCUAUACCCAUUACCGAGUAUAGAGACCUAUGCCACACUUUCCAGGCAUUGGCCACUUCUCAGAGCAUCCUACUCAGUAGAUGACAACUCUUCGUUCUCAUCAGGAGCAGAUUAUUACCACUCAGGCCCAGCACACUGCCAUCCUGAGGCAGAUUCAGCAUCAUCUGGGUCUUAUAUCAGCUCCUGAGCAUGCCACUCCUAGCCCACCAGAGCCAGCACAAGCCCCUCCUUUCGUAUACCAGAUUAUGUCUCCUGAGGAGCCUACUACAGGAGAGACAGAGGCAGCUGAGCCAUCAUCUCCACAGCAUCCUCCACCCACCAUCUGAUCAUUUUGAUAGUUUCCUUUAUAUAUUUCGAUUAUGUAUUUCCUUUAUGUAUUUCCUUAUCAUAGUAGCACUUGAAAUCCCAUGCUUUUGAUAUUAUAUAUUGGGAUUGCUUGUAUUACUUGUCCAUUUUGUACUUACAUGAAUUGAAGUAAUACAAAUCUAUCACUUUUUGAUCACUCUUAGCAUUAUUUUAUUCUUAUUUCCUCUAUUCAUAUCUUUUAUUGUUUUUGAAACAUGUGGUUUCUCCAAUCAAUACUCGAAAUUGAUAUCACUCAGGAGGUACCACUUCCUCCCUAUAAUCUCAAUCGCUCAUGCCACAUUGAGGACAAUGUUCAGCUUGAUUGGGGGGAGAGUUGAGGAAGGAAGUUUUUUGUUAUUUAUGCUAAGUUAUUUUGAUAAUUUAGUCAAUUUUUGCUUAAUUUUAAAAUUUUUUAAAGUUUUUAUUCUAAUCUCCAUGGUUACUAAGGAAAAAUUCUCAUAAUGAAAUGGAAGAAAUUGAAUUUUUGUCUUUUUACUUGACUUAGAGUUUGUAUUAUGCUUACUAAAGUUGAUGAAUUGUUGAAACUUCUAUUGAAUUCAACCUUAGUUCUUCCACUUUAAGCUAUUCACACACUGUGCACAAUAGAUUCCAAUUAUAAGAUGAGAAAUUAUUUCUCGCUUGACUUAGGAAAAUUUAGACUUGGUACCUUUGACAUUAUUUUAAUAGUGUUGGGACACCUUAUAAAAGGCCAAUGAGCCUUUGAAAAAGAAAAAAAAAAAGCAAGAAAAAAAUGUUUGCUUGCCUUGAAACCCGAGCAAGGUCUGAGGGGUAUAUGGUGAAAAUCUUUAAAGCCUGGUGCCCUAAGCCUUAAUUGGUUGGGAGUCACCGACCUCAAUGCUCGUUAUAAGGGUGAAUAGGUGGAGUUUAACAUAUUGUAGGUGCUUGGGUAUUAAAAUUCAUUCUCAAAAGUUCGGGGUAAAAUCCGAGGAGUUAGUGGUUGAAAGAUCCUUAAAGCUUGAUGCCCUAAACCUUAAUUGGUUAGGAGUCAUCGAUGGACCCCCAUUACAUGGACAAUUUAGAAAAGAAUACCCUUAAGGCUUGUACUCCUACAAUGAAAAAAAUUGUGAAACAAAAGGGUGCGUUCUUAGCCUAUUGAAUUUGGUCAGCUUGCUAAGUGUUGAAAAAGAACUAGGUUGGGGGGAGAGAUUAGUUCAGCAUACUAUAUUCGAAAACUAUCAACUAACACUUAGAUUUUUGUGGAAGAGUAAGGUUUGGUCCUUUGGAAGUGGAAAAGAUUUUAAAGCUUCAAUUUGCAUAAUGCCUUCUCUUUAUGAAUUGUGAUUAGACAAGUUAUUUGAUAACUCUUGUUGACAUUUGAGUUUAUAUUUCUUUAAUGUUCCAUGUGAGAGUUAGAUCAUCAUGCCACUUGAAAUUUUUUUUUUGAUCAGCAUGAUGUUGUAAAUUAUAGUACUUUUUAUUUUUCUUUUUCUCUCCUUCAUUGCUAAGGGACUAGCAAUAUGUCGGUUGGGGGGAGUGAUUACUACUCAAAAAGUGCUAUUUGAUAGCUGGUAAUUAACUCUUUUAAACACUUUUGAGUAGUAGUUAUUACCUUUUAACCCAAUUAACAUAUUAAGGACCUUUGCAAUCAUUUCUAAUCAAAUUGUGUAAGUUUUGGUGUUUUUGUUAGUAAUUUGAUCACCAAAGCAAUAUGAGAUUGAGGAGAGUUCUUUGGAAUCCAUGGCAAAGCAAUGGAAAGCUCAGAAACAUGAAGAACCAAAGAUUUGAAGCUUUAUAGUCCUUUGCCAUAAGCAAAUCCGGAAUGCAAGGAGGGGAAGCAAAGAGAAAUCUAACAUGAAGCAUUCUAGAGAACAGUCACUGUCAGCCACUUUUGGAGCAUUUUCUGGAGCUCAAUUUAUGCAUACUAUAUGUCAUUUCGAAGCUCGGGAAGUUACCAAUCCAAUGCUUCAAACAAUGCACGAUUCAGAGUUGAAAUGAAGGAGUUACAGCCAUUGGAAGCCGAUCACUCCAAGCUGAAGGCCAAUUUCGCAGGGCUGCGAAAUGGUGUCCUUCAUGCUGCGAAAUUUCGCAGCCCUCUUGCAUGGCUGCGAAAUUCUCUUGAAGCUUCCCGAUAUUUGCGACCGACAUUUUGAGAUUUUUUUGCUUUAGAUAUUUGAUGUCUAAAUCCCCCAACUCUCCUUGUAAUCCACCUAUCAUAGGAUUCCUUAGUCUUUAAGCAAGAACAAAGGGUAAAUAACCCCAUAUAUAUUGUUUGUAAAUUUCCAAAGAAGGAGGGAGAGGUCGAGAGCUUGUUCUCAGACAACUUUGUAUAGUUUUGCAAGAAAGUAAAAUACAGAGCCUUUGCUCUGCCUUACCUUCUCGUUUUGAUUGUAUAUAUUUAUUUAAUUUUUCUUACUAGCUAAACAAGCUCUGAGGAAGUUUCCUCAGAGAAUGAGUGGCUAGACUUUUAGUUCCUUGGAGCUAAGGUUGCCGAGAAAGGUUCCAAGUGCAAGAAUUAGUAGCUUUGUGGUUUCAACCAUUAAUGAAGAGAUAGUGUGAUCCUUUAAUGAUUUCUAUGUUUUUAGUUAACUUAAAACACCUUCAAUUCACCUGAGUCAAUACUUGGUAAGGCAAGUGAUCUUCGUCCAUGGAGAUGCACUAGUUUAUCUCUUGCAAGCUUUUGGGAGGUGACUUGAAGGUAGGAUUUUCUAGAAUUGCCAACACUUGGUAAGCUUUUGGACCCUAAGGAGACAUCCAUUAGUUAUCUCUUGCGAGCUUGAGAAGGGAAGUCCAAGGUUAAUGAUCACUUUGAAUGGCAAAUGAUAGGCGAGAGGCACGAGCCAUUGCAAGUUGCAUCAGUGAGAGGAAAUUAGUGUUGAAAUCCAUUAAAGGGAAGCAUCUGUACAACACCGGUUAGAGAAUUAACUAUAUGUUAAUUCUCUAAUGCGAGGAAAAGAACCAAGUGACCGGAGCUCUGUUUUUGCAUGAGGAGCCUCCCCUGUGAACCUAAAACUCCAAGGAAUGCUUUCCUUCAUAAGUAAUUUCCAUUAAUUUCUUUUUAGUUAGCUUAAAACAAAUCCUUUUUCAACCAAAGUUUAUGUUUUCUUCUUAAGCUAACCUUGAAAUGAAAAAGCACCAAUUUAACUUUGAAUUGGUAUCAGUUGUAAGUUGAAAACCCUUCCCAGUGAACAAUCCUAGAGCCACUAUGCUAUAUUACCUAAAGCUAUCCUAAUGCAUGGUGAUAUAGGUUAUAAAUUUUGUUGAUUACUCCCUUCUAAGGACCACAAUCAAGGAACACCAGCUGGACAUGAAUAAGCUAAGACACCAAUUGGGAACCACGAAUCAAUCAACAACCUUGAGUGUUCAUAGCAUCUAGAGCCUUGAGCUCAUGACCAAGAGUCUUUCAUGUCAUUAACAGCCUUGAGCUGUUCAAAACAUCUAGAGCUUUAAGCCCAUGACCUAGAGUUGUUCACGUCAACCACAACUUAAAGUUGUUUAUAGCAUUUAAAGCCUUAAGGUCAUGACCCAAAUUAACUCAUGUCAUCGACAACCCUGAGUUGUUCAUAACAUUUAAAGCCUUGAGCUCAAGACUAAGAGUCGUUUAUGUCAACCACAGCCUAAAGUUGUUCAUAUCAUCUAGUGCAUUGAGCUCACGAACUAGAAUAGCUCAUGUCAUCCACAUUCUUGAGUUGUUAAUAGCAUCUAGAGCCCUAAGCUCACAACCCAAAUUCGUUGGUCACAACCCAACGUUGUUCAAAGCAUUUAGAGCCUUGAGCUCAUGACCUGUAGCCAUUCAUUUCAACCAUAGUGUAGAGUUGUUCAUAAAUCUAGAGCCUUGACCUUAUGACUUAGAAUAGUUCAUGUCAUCUAUAACCCUAACUUGUUCAUAACAUCUAGAGCCAUGAGCUCACGACAUGGAGUCAUUCAUGUCAACCACACCCCAACGUUGCUCAUCGCAUUUAGAGCCUUGACCUCACAAUCAAGAGUCGUUCAUGUCAACCAUAACCCUGAGUUGUUCAUAGUAUCUAUAGUGCUGAGCUCAUGACCCAUAGUCUUUCAAUUCAUUGACAGCUCUAAGUUGUUCAUAGCAUCAAGAGCCCUAAGCUCACGACCUAAAGUCAUUCAUCUCAACCAUAGCCUAAAUAUGUUCAUAUCAUCUAGAGCCCUGAUCUCACGACCUAAAGUACCUCAUGUUUUCCAUAACCUUGAGCUAUUAAUAGCAUCUAAAGCCUGGAGGUUACAACACAGAGUGAUUCAUGUCAACCAUAACCUAGAGUUGUUCAUUACAUUUAGAGCCUUGAUCUCAAGACCUAGAGUAGCUAAUGUCAUCCAUAGCCUUGAUUUGUUCAUAGCAUCUAGAGCCAUGAGCUCACACCUUGGAGUCUUUCAUGCCAACCAUAUCCUGGAGCUAUUCAUUGCAUCUAGGGCCUUAAGCUCAUGACCCAGAGUCGUUUAUGUCAUCCAUAACUCUGAGUUGUUCAUAGAAUUUUGAGCUUUGAGCUCACGACCUAGAGUCGUUCAUGUCAACCAUAACGUAAAGUUGUUCAUAACAUCUAAAGCCUUGAGCUCACAAGCUAGAGUUGUUCAUGUCAAUCACUACCCAAUGUUGUUCAUAGCAUUUAGAGCCUUGAACUCAUAACCUAGAGUAGCCCAUGUUAUCCACAACUCUCGAUUAUUUAUUGCAAUUAGUGCCCUGAACUCACGAGUAAGAGUCAUUCUUGUCAACUAGAACUCGGAGUUGUUCAUAGUAUAAAGAGCCUUUAGCUCAUGACCCAUUGUCUUUCAUGUCAUCGACAACCCUGAGUUGUUCAUAACAUCAAGAGCCCUAAGCCCACGACCUAGAUUUGUUCAUGUCAACCACAUCCUAGAGUUGUUCAUAGCAUCCAAAGCCUUGAGCUCAGGACCUAGAGUAGCUCAUGUCAUCCACAAUGCUAAGUUGUUAAUAGUAUCUAGAGCCCUGAGCUCACAAACUAGAGUCAUUCAUGUCAACCACAUGUUAGAGUUGUUCAUAGCAUUUAGAGCCUUGAGCUCAAGACCCAGAGUGGCUGAUGUCAUCCACAACCCUAAGCUGUUCAUAGCAUCUAGAGCUGUGAGCUCACAACCUGAAGUCUUUUGUGUCAAUUCCAACCUAGAGUUGUUCAUUUCAUCUAGGGCCCUAAGCUCAUGACACAAAUUCGUUCAUGUUAUCCAUAACUCUGAGUAGUUCAUAGAAUUUAGAGUCCUGAGCUCUCAACCUGGAGCAUUUCUUGUCAUCGACAACCCUGAGUGCUUCAUAGCAUCUAGAGCCCUGAGCUCAUGACCCAAAGUAGUUCAUGUCAACCAUAACCCUAAGUUGUGCAUAACAUUUAAAGCCCUAAACUCAUGAUCAAGAGUGGCUCAUGUCAUCAACGACCCUGAGUUGUUCAUAACAUCUAAAGGCCUAAGCUAGUGACUUAGAGUCAUUCAUGUUAACCAUAACCUAAAGCUCUUAAUAGCAUCUAGUGCCUUGAGCUCAAGACCUAGAGUGGCUCAAGUCAUCCACAACCCUAAGUUGUUCAUAGCAUUUAGAGCUCUAAGCUCAUGACCUAGAGUCUUUCAUGUCUUGCAUAGACAAGAGUUGUCCAUUGCAUCUAGGGCCCUAAGCUCAUGAUCGAGAACCAUUCAUAUCAUCCACAGCCUCGAGCUUUUCAUAGAAUCUAAAGUCUUGUGCUCACGACUCGGAGUCUUUCAUGUCAUCGACAACCUUGAUCUAUUCAUAGAAUCCUGAGCCCUGAGUUCACGACCUGGAGUCUUUCAUGUUAUUAACAACCGUGAGUUGUUCAUAACAUCUAAAGCUCUGAGCUCAUGACCCAGAGUUGUUCAUGUCAACCAUAGCCUAAUGUUGUCCAUAUCAUCUAAAGCUGGCUCACGACCCAAAGUGGAUAAUGUCAUCAACAACCCUAAGUUGUUCAUGACAUCUAAAGCCCAAAGCUUACGACCUAGAGUCAUUCAUGCCAACCACAACUCAGAGCUAUUCAUAACAUCUAGAGCUCUAAGCUUAAGACCCAGAGUGGUGCAUGUCAUCCAUAACCUUGAGCUAUUCAUGGAAUUUAGAGCCAUGAGCUCACGACCCGGAGUCUUUUAUAUCAACCAAAACCCAGAGUUGUUCAUUGCAUCUAGGGCCUUAAGUUGACGACCCAAAGUUGUUCAUGUCAUCCAUAGCCCUGAGAUGUUCAUAGCAUCCAAAGCCUUAAGCUCACUACCCGAAGUCGUUCAUGUCAAUGAUUUCCUAGAUGAUUCGUUCCCAAUUGGUGUAUCAGCUGAUUCAUGUCCUCUCAAUGGUCCCUGACAAUGGUGCCAUUUGAUUCGUGUCUAGCUGGUGUUCCUUGAUUGCAGUCCUCAGAUGGGAGUAAUCAACAAAAUUUAUAACCUAUUACACCAUGUACUAGGAUAGCCUCAUCUAGCAUAGCACAGUGGCUCUAGGGUAGUUCACUAGGAUGGGUUUUCACUUCACAAUUGAUAUUAAUUCAAAGCUGAAUUAGUGCUUUUUCACUUCAAGGUUAGCUUUAAAAGAAGACAUAAAGAUGUUUGAGUGAAAAAGGUUUUAAGCUAACAAAAAUAGUAACUAAUUUUAAUUACAAAGAAAAGUGUUUCUUGGAGUUUCAGAUCACUAGGCUCAGGUUCCUAAUACAAAAAGAGAGUUCCGGUCACUUGUUUCUUUUCCUCGCAUUAGAGAAUUAACCUAUAGUUAAUUCUCUAACCGGUGUGGUACAGAUGCUUCCCCUUAAUGGGUUCAAACACUAAAUCCCUUUCAUUGAUGCAUCUUGCAAUGGCUCAUGCCUCUCACCUAGCAUUUGCCAUUCAAGGUGAUCCUUAACCUUGGAUUUUCCUUCACAAGAUCGCAAGAGAUAACUAAUGGAUGUCUCCUUGGAGUCCAAAAGCUUACCAAGUGUUGGCAAUUCUAGAAAAUCCUACUUUUAAACCACCUCCCAAAGGCUCGCAAGAGGUAAACUAGUGCAUCUCAAUGGACGGAGAUCACUUGCCUUACCAAGUGUUGGCCCAGGUGAUUUAAAGGCGUUUUAAGUUAACUAAAAACAUAGAAACCAUAAACGGGUCACACUUUCUCUUCAUUAAUAACUGAAACAACAAAACUACCAAUUUUUGCAUUUGGAAACUUACUCGGCUUUCUUCACUCCAAGAAACAAAAAGCCUAGCCACUCAUCCUCUGAGGAAACAUCCUCAGAGUUUGUUUUGCUAGAAAUAAAAAUAAUGAGAAAACAAAAAUAUGAAGGAAAAAUAGAGCAAGUGCUCUGUAAAUAUAUUUCUUACUAUGAUCCUCCUCUCGUCGGAUUACAUAUAUUACAAGAUUUAUGAUGUAUUGGUUCAAAGAUAUAUAUAUAGAGAAGAUAUUUUCUAAGAAAUAUCCCAAUAAUAUCUUUGACUGAUUACAAGGAGAAAAGAGAAAUUUACAAAAUAUCUUGAGAAAAAAUCUAACUGAGUCGGUUGCAAAUAUCUGAGAUUGCACAGGUGGAUUUCACAAGGUGAUUCACAUGUUGAAUUAUCCAUUUUGCAUGUUUGAACUUUGGUUUUGCAACUUGGAGGUGAUUUCACAACUUGGAGAUGAUUCGCAACUUCAUUCGUAGCUUGGAGGUGAUUUCACAACAUGGUUCGCAGCUGCGAAGAUGGAGGCAUGGGCUGCGAAAUGGCACUCGUGUGCCAAAGGUGGGUUUUGCAGCUCAUUUCGCAGCUGCGAAAUGGGCUUUCACUUUGCGCGGUUGUCUUCAAAUGGCCAUAACUUCUUUGUUUCAACUCGAAUUAUCAUACCGUUUAAAGCGUUGGACUCCUGACUUCUCGAGCUUUGAAAAGAGAUAUAGUAUACAUGAAAUGGACUCCAGGAAGUACUUGAAAUGUGUCCAACAGUUGCUGUCCUCUUGAAUUCUUCAUGUUAGAUUUCUCUCUUUUUCCUCCUUGCAUUCUUGAUUGGCUUUAGCAAAGAACUACGAAGCUCCAAAGCUUGAAUUAUUCAUUUAAAUGAGCUUCUAUUUGCUUUUCCAUGGAUUAUAUAAAGCUCUCCCUCAUAUUAGAUUGCUUUGGUGAUAAAAAAGCUAUCAAAAAACACCAAAACUUAACACAAUUUGAUUAGAAUUGAUUGCAAGGGUCCUUAACAUGCCAAUUGAGUUAAAAGGUAAUAACUACCACUCAAAAGUGUUUAAAAGAGUUAAUUACAAGCUAUAAAAUAACACUUUUUGAGUAGUAAUCACUAGAGCAAUUCAUCGCAUCUAGAGGCCUAGCCCAUGUCAUCCAUAGUCCUGAGCGGUUCAUAACAUCUAUAGCCUUAAGUUGACAACCCAAAGUCGUUCUCGUAAACUACAACCCAGAGAUGUUCAUAACAUUUAAAGCCUUAAGCUUAGGACUAAGAGAAGCUCAUGUCAUCCAUAAACCUUAUUUGUUCAUAGCAUUUAGAGAUAUGAGCUCAUGACUUAGAGUACCUCUUGUCAUCCACAACCUCGAGUUACUCAUAGGAUCAAGAGCCUUGAGCUCACAACCCAUAGUCUUUCAUGUCAUCGAUCCUAAGCCUGUUCAUAGCAUAAAGAGCAUUGAGCACACGACCUGUAAUCAUUCAUGUCAACCACAACCUAGAGCUGUUAUAGAUCAUAAGAUCAUGACCUAGAGUAGCUUAUGUUAUCCACAACCUUGAUUUGUUAAUAGUAUCUAGAGCCCUAAGUUGUUCAUACACAGAGUGGCUCAUGUCAUCCACAAAACUGAGUUGUUCAUAGAAUCAAGAGCUCUAAGCUCAUGACUUAUAGCCUUUCAUAUCAUCGAUAGGCCUAUCAAGAGCCCUAAGCACAUGACCUGGAGUCAUUAAUGUCAACCACAACCCAAAGUUGUUCAUAACAUCUAGAGCUCUCAAGUCAUGACAUAGUGUAGCUCAUGUGAUCAACAACCUGAGUUGUUAAUAGUAUCUAGAGGCUUGAGUUGAUGACCUAGAGUUGAUCAUGUUAACCAAAGCCUAGAGCUGCUAAUAACCUCUAGAGCUUUGAGCUCAAGACAUAGAGUGGUUCAUGUUGUCCACAACAUUGAGCUGUUCAUAACAUCUAAAGCCUGGAACUCAUGACCUAUAGUAUUUCAUGUCAACCACUGCCUAGAGCUGUUCAUUGCAUCUAGGUACCUUAGCUCAUGACUUAGAGUAGUUCACAUUAUCCAUAGCUCUGAGUUCCUCAUAGAAUCUAGAGUCCUAAUCUCACAACCUAAAGUCUUUCAUGUCAUUGACAGUUCUAAGUUGUUCAUAGCAUCUAAAUCCAUGAGCUCAUGACCCGGAGUCCUUCAUGUCAACCACAACCAAGAAUUAUUCAUAGCUUCUAAAGCUAUGAGCUCAAGACCAAGAGUGGCUCAAGUCAUCCAUAGCCUUGAGCUAUUCAUAGCAUCUAGAGCUUUAAGCUCAUAACCUAGAGUCUUUCAUGUCAACCAUAAUCCAACAUUAUUCAUUACAUUUGAGGCCCUGAGCUCACGACCUAGUGUCAUUCAUAUCAUCCACAAUACUAAUCUAUUCAUAGAAUCUAGACCCUUGAUCUCACGACCCGGAGUCUUUCAUGUCAUCGACAGACUUGAGUUGUUCAUAGAAUCUAGAGCCUUGAGCUCACAACCUGGAGUCUUUCAUGCUAUCGAUAGCUUUGAGUUUUUCAUAGCAUCUAGAGCCUAAUCUCAUGACCUAGAUGUAGACCCUCAAUUUUUUCCUUCGACACUUGCAUUUAUCUUAAGAGUUUCACAUGCACCCAAUCUCUUCGUAUGGCACUGUCAUGACCCCCCUUUUGGGCUUGAUCGAUUUUUGAACCUUGUGUAGGUUCAUCUACGGUCCAAUGUAGUGGGAGUGUGUAGUUCAUUUUGGAGUGCUAUCAUGGCCAACUCCUUAGUUGUUCACAUCAUUCUAAAGGAAGGAAGUGAGGUCUCUCCCAAAACUUUAGUUCAGUUGGAGUUCGUAGGAGCAGGUUUGAAUACGGAGCACCUGAUCUUGUUUUGAUCAUAUCUCUCUCAUCCGAACUCGGAAUCAUGCACCAUUUUUUUUGUUGGAUUCCUUAUUCUUCAAGGAAUAUUAUAUCAAAAUUUGAGAAUUUUUCUCAAUCGAUCGAUCAACCGGUCGACCAGAUUAAGUGCUAUCAUGGCCAACUCCUUAGUUGUUCACAUCAUGCUAAAGGAAGGAAGUCAGGUCUCUCCCAAAACUUUAGUUCAGUUGAAGUUCUGAUUACUACCAAAAAGUGCUAUUUUGUAGACCUAAUUAUAAUGGUUUUAAGCACCUUUGAGUAGUAAUCAUAUUCAUUUAAACCAAUUAAUUCAUUAAGGUCCUUAGUAAUUGGUUUUAACCAUUUUGUGGCAAGUUUACAUGUUUUUAUCAGCUUAUGAAUCGAUUCAAGCAUGCCAAAUGAUGGAGGAGCUACUUGGACAAGUUAAAGCAAGGAUUUUGGACAUUUACAAGCUUGAAUUUCAAGUGGAAACACGAGCACAAGCAAAGAGAAGCAAAGAGGAAAAGCAAGCAAAGUGAAGAGAAGCAAAGAGGACAGCAGCUUCAGUCUUCUUUCGCACUUUUGGAGCACUUCCCAAAGUCCAUUUUUUGCAUACUAUAUACCAUUUCAAAGCUCUGGAAGUCAAGAAUCCAAUGCUUCAAACCGUGCACGAUUUGGAGCUGAAAUGAGGAAGAUAUGGCCUUCGGAAGCAAACUGCUCCAGGUUAUGCGAAAAUUUCGCAUUCCACAAGGUGUUAUGCGAAAUUCGCAUAACAUUCGCAUAACCCAUGCGUGUUGCGAAUUUUGCUCUGUUUUUGCCGACUCCACUUUAGAUAUUUUCCUUUGUAUUUUGUGAUGUAAUUUCCUUUCUUAUCCUUGUAACUAACCAAUCACAAGCUUUUGCUUUUGUAAAGACUUUAUAAGGGGUGGAAAUCACCUCUUGGAUGAUAUAGAAUAUAGAAUAUUUCACAGAGCUCUCUCGUUUCUCCUGUUCUUCCCCAUUUCUAUUUUCUUAGUAGCCAAACAGCCUCUGAGGGCUUUUCCUUAGAGGAUGAUUGGCUAAAACUUUUAGUUUCUCAAAGUAUGGAUGUUAUGUGAUGGCUUGGAUGCAAUCCCAUGGAAAUUUCUCGCACCCGGAAGGUAAGGUAGACGUUUUUCAUUAAAGGUUCAUUAAUGCAAAGUUUGGUUUUUAUUUCCUUUGGACAACUUCCAACGGCCAAUACUUGAUAAGCUUUUGGAUUUCUAUCCAUUAGUUAUCUCCUACGAGCUAUUGGAAGGUGAGGUUUUCAAUUCCAAGUUAAUCCGUUAGAACCAAUUUCAAUGGCCAUUGAAAGGUGAGUUUAUCACUUAGAAUGACUUUGAGUUGCCAAUAUUUGGUAAGCUUUUGGAUUUAGACCGUUAGUUAUCUCUUACGAGCCAUUCAAAGGAAGUCUAAGGCGAAUAACCAUUGAUGAAAUUCACUACCAUCUGUUUUGCCAUUUUAAAGGAUUAAAACUUGAUUUGCUAAAUCCAUACCGGUUCGGGAAGCAAGCAUCACCAUAGUUGCAACCCCAACUCGAGGAGCCUAUCCUGAGAUUUCCAAUUUGCAUAAGAGCCAGAGCAUAGCUAUCCUAUAUUUGAGAAACUUGUUUUUACACCUUUUCAUUUUAGUCUUUAAUGUUAGCUUAAAUUAGUUUAAAUCUUUCUAAAAUAUUUACAUAUUCUUUUAAAGCUAACAUCCACAAGAAAAUCACCUAUUUUCCUAAUUUGAAUAUCACUUGUGUUUGCGAAAACCUUUCCCAGUGAACGAUCCUAGAACCACUAUGCUAUAGUAGCUUGGCUACUUUAGUAAUAGUAUUCAAGGUAUAAAUUUUGUUGAUACGCCUUUAAAGCUAAGCUACCAUGAGUCGCAUCAAAUGGCGCCGUUGCCGGGGAUCGAAUCAUGAGUAGAAUCAAAUGGCGCCGUUGCCGGGGAAGGUGCCACAAGCACAGUGAAGCAACCAUUAAGGGUAACUUGUGAUCUUCAUCACAAGUUUGGUGAGUUUUCUUAUAAUUUUUUUUAGUUUAAUUUUUAUUUAGUUAAAUUUUUUAUUCUCUUUUCUUUUAUUUUUGUUUUAAUUUCAAUUUGUGCAUUCCUUGUUGGAUUCGAGACCAAGAGGGAACCCUGGUACAAGUUGAAGAAAAGAGCCUUACUUGAAUAUCAUUUUUUUUUAGAAAUGGAAAUUCCACAUGAAGAUCAAAGCUCUCAUUAUGAUCAUGAGAAGGACAAAUUUACAUACUUAUCCAUGAGGGAUCGGAUUGAAUUAGGGAAAAGGCAAGUUCAACAAAGCUAAUGGGGUAGUAAGUAUGCUUUGAAUGAAGACAUGAGCAUGAAGGCAAUGCUAGCAUCUAUGGCUAUAAGGAUAGAAGAGUUUGAAUUGAGGAAUGUGCAUACUGAAGCACAACCACAAGCCAUGCCAACUUCAUUUGAGUAUAUAAACCAUCCCAACCUUACAACCCAACCUCAACCUCAUCCAUCAAUGAGUACAUCUUCAUUGGAGCAAGCCAUUUUGAAGAUAAGCAAAGUCAUGAAGGACUUUGUAGGUGAGCAACAAAAGAUCAACUCUCAUCUUAAUGGAAAGAUUGAUAAUUUGGAGAGUUCAAUGAAUGUAAGAAUGGAGGGGGUUUAUAAUGAUCUAUCACUAAGGAUAGAAAAGUUCAAGACUCCAUUGAGAAGCUCACCAAUCUCGACAUAGCAAGGGGGCAAAGGAAGCUUCCUCCUCAACCCCACCAUAACCUUCAAGGAACCAAUGCAAAAAGAUCAAGGAAAGUGUUGAUGAUCGACACUUUGGUGGGGGAUUGCUAUGACAACUCUAUGGACCAACCUUCCAUUGAAAAUCAUAAGGUUCAAGAUGAUAAAGGGUUACUUGAACCCUUUAAAGCAUCCACUUCUCCAGGGAAGGGAAGAGAAACGAAUUCCCUUGGACAAAAUGGGAAGGAUGCUAAUUUUGUUUGGGAUCCAGGGGGAAUUCAGCAUGAAGUGGGUGUGUGAGUGAGGAUGAGCUAAAUAGUUCAUCUUCUUUUUGGGAUACAUGCUAUCAGCUUCAUUUAAAUUCUAUGCUUUCUUUAAAUUUAUGCAUGUUUUAAUUUGAAUUUUUAGCUUUAAUUUAGUUUUAAUAUGUUUUUAAGAUGAGUUUUGAAGUGUUCAUGCAGGUAGGAAAGCUUGAAGAAUGAAAUUAUGGUGAAAACAAGGGAAAAUGGUGAAAACAAGGCAAAACAAGGGAGAAAAAAACCAAGUCUCAGCCAUUUUUGCACAACACUUCCUGUUAUGCGAAAUUUUCGCAUAACACACCCCUUAUGCGAAAAUGCUUUUGUGGCAAUUUAAAAAAAAAACAUGCUCUCGGUCCCUUCCCAAAAUCCCUUAUGCGAAUUUCACAGGAAUACGAACCUUAUGCGAACCUUGUGCGAAUUCGUUUUUGGGACAAAUUUUCAAAACCAUGCUCUCUGUCUGGGUACUCACAGGAAUGCGAAAUUUUCGCAUAACACAAGGUGUAAUGCGAAAUUUGCAUUUCCUCUUUAAAGGUCGUGUUCUCAUCUUUAAAUGCUAAGGUUCUUCUUCAUUUCUCUCAACAUCUCUCUUUCAAUCAACCAAUCCCAACCUUGCAUUUACCAAACCAAAGCCUCAAGCUAAGGAUUCAAGCCACGUUUUCUUCAAAGGAAACCCAUUUCCGCCGGGUAGAGGAGCUCCAAAUUUCAAAUUCUCUUCGUGAAAAAGCUCCAAUUUCCAAGCCUAACCACCAUGAAAAAUCCUUUUCCUACCUUAGCCAGCAUUUCCCACCCUCAAAAGCCAAAAAAUUUCACCAUUUGAAUGAGCUUCAAAACUUCAAGUGGGCGUGUGAAUAGUGCAUGUGCGAAAUUUUCGCAUAACAUCCCCCCUUAUGCGAAAUUUUCGCAUAACACCCCCCCUUGUGCGAAAUUUUCGCAUAACCCUUCCCUUGUGAAAAAUUUUCAAUUUCUUCAUCCCUACCCUCCCCAAAUCCCAAGCCUUUGAGCCUUGUCCUCAGUUGCUCAAAGUGGGGCCCACUCAUCAUUUUUGUAAAUAUUUAGUAUAAAUUCCUCUCUCAUUCAAUUUUUGAAUUUUGAAACAGGUGGUUCAACCUUCUCAACUCCAAGUCCACAUCACAUGAGGUACCACUUCCUUCCUCCUUAUUUUCGAUUCAAACAUUGAGGACAAUGUUCAUCUCGGUUGGGGGGAGAGAUGAGGAAGUAAGUAUUAGUUUAAAUUUUUAUCAUACUUAGUUAAAUUAGCUACUUUUUGUUUAAAUUUUAAAAUUUUUGCUUUAAACUCCAUGGAUAUUAAGGAUUAACUCUCAAAAUUAAAUGAGAGAAGUCGAGUUUCAACUUGAUUACAUGAGUCUUAGAGUUUGUAUUAUGCUCUUCUAAAAGUUGAUGAAUUGUUGAAACUCCCAUUGCAUGCAAACUUAUCUCUUCCACCUUAAGCUAUUCGCACACACCGUGCACACUAGGUUCCGUUUAUAAGAUGAAAAACUAUUUCCCUCUUGACUUAGGAAAAUUUUAGACUUGGCACCUUUAACCUCUCUUUAAUAGUGUUGGGACACCUCAUAAAGACCAAUGAGUCUUUGAAAAAAUAGAAAAAAAGAAAAAGAAAAAGAAAAAGAAAAAAAAAAUAUAGAAUAAACUUCUUUGCUUGCCUUGAAACCUGAGCAUGGUCCGAAGGGGUGGCGAAAGCCUUUAAAGCCUGGUGCCUUAAGCCUUUAUUGGUUGGAGUCACCGAUCCUCUGCUUGUUACAUGAGUGAAUUGGUUAAGUUUAGUAAGUGAAAAAGAAUUGUGAAUAAGAGGUGCGUUCCUAGCCUAUCAAGAGAUGGUUAAUUUUGCUAAAUCUUAAAGAAAGACUUAGGUUAGGGGGAGAUGAUAGUUAUCCAUACUAUACUCGGAAGCUAAUCACAUUAACACUUAGCUUUUAGUGGAAGAAUUUGAUUUGGAUCUUUUGAGAGUGGAAAUUCUUUUGAUGCUUAAACUUACAUAAUAUCCAUUCUUUGUACUCUAUGAUCAAGUGAAUGCUUUGACAACUCUUAUUAUAGGUUGAGUUUCACAUCUUUAUUGAUCCAUGGAUAUCCAUCAUGCCACUCAUAUCAUUUUUUGGAGUGAUUUGCAUGAUCCCUUUUAUGUAUAUUAUUAUAGUUUACUUAGUUUUUAUCUCCUCCAUUGCUAAGGGACUAGCAAUGAGUCGGUUGGGGGGUGUGAUUACUACCAAAAAGUGCUAUUUUGUAGACCUAAUUAUAAUGGUUUUAAGCACCUUUGAGUAGUAAUCAUAUUCAUUUAAACCAAUUAAUUCAUUAAGGUCCUUAGUAAUUGGUUUUAACCAUUUUGUGGCAAGUUUACAUGUUUUUAUCAGCUUAUGAAUCGAUUCAAGCAUGCCAAAUGAUGGAGGAGCUACUUGGACAAGUUAAAGCAAGGAUUUUGGACAUUUACAAGCUUGAAUUUCAAGUGGAAACACGAGCACAAGCAAAGAGAAGCAAAGAGGAAAAGCAAGCAAAGUGAAGAGAAGCAAAGAGGACAGCAGCUUCAGUCUUCUUUCGCACUUUUGGAGCACUUCCCAAAGUCCAUUUUUUGCAUACUAUAUACCAUUUCAAAGCUCUGGAAGUCAAGAAUCCAAUGCUUCAAACCGUGCACGAUUUGGAGCUGAAAUGAGGAAGAUAUGGCCUUCGGAAGCAAACUGCUCCAGGUUAUGCGAAAAUUUCGCAUUCCACAAGGUGUUAUGCGAAAUUCGCAUAACAUUCGCAUAACCCAUGCGUGUUGCGAAUUUUGCUCUGUUUUUGCCGACUCCACUUUAGAUAUUUUCCUUUGUAUUUUGUGAUGUAAUUUCCUUUCUUAUCCUUGUAACUAACCAAUCACAAGCUUUUGCUUUUGUAAAGACUUUAUAAGGGGUGGAAAUCACCUCUUGGAUGAUAUAGAAUAUAGAAUAUUUCACAGAGCUCUCUCGUUUCUCCUGUUCUUCCCCAUUUCUAUUUUCUUAGUAGCCAAACAGCCUCUGAGGGCUUUUCCUUAGAGGAUGAUUGGCUAAAACUUUUAGUUUCUCAAAGUAUGGAUGUUAUGUGAUGGCUUGGAUGCAAUCCCAUGGAAAUUUCUCGCACCCGGAAGGUAAGGUAGACGUUUUUCAUUAAAGGUUCAUUAAUGCAAAGUUUGGUUUUUAUUUCCUUUGGACAACUUCCAACGGCCAAUACUUGAUAAGCUUUUGGAUUUCUAUCCAUUAGUUAUCUCCUACGAGCUAUUGGAAGGUGAGGUUUUCAAUUCCAAGUUAAUCCGUUAGAACCAAUUUCAAUGGCCAUUGAAAGGUGAGUUUAUCACUUAGAAUGACUUUGAGUUGCCAAUAUUUGGUAAGCUUUUGGAUUUAGACCGUUAGUUAUCUCUUACGAGCCAUUCAAAGGAAGUCUAAGGCGAAUAACCAUUGAUGAAAUUCACUACCAUCUGUUUUGCCAUUUUAAAGGAUUAAAACUUGAUUUGCUAAAUCCAUACCGGUUCGGGAAGCAAGCAUCACCAUAGUUGCAACCCCAACUCGAGGAGCCUAUCCUGAGAUUUCCAAUUUGCAUAAGAGCCAGAGCAUAGCUAUCCUAUAUUUGAGAAACUUGUUUUUACACCCUUUCAUUUUAGUCUUUAAUGUUAGCUUAAAUUAGUUUAAAUCUUUCUAAAAUAUUUACAUCUUCUUUUAAAGCUAACAUCCACAAGAAAAUCACCUAUUUUCCUAAUUUGAAUAUCACUUGUGUUUGCGAAAACCCUUCCCAGUGAACGAUCCUAGAACCACUAUGCUAUAGUAGCUUGGCUACUUUAGUAAUAGUAUUCAAGGUAUAAAUUUUGUUGAUACGCCUUUAAAGCUAAGCUACCAUGAGUCGCAUCAAGUUCAUAGGAGCAGGUUCAAAUACGAAGCACCUGGGCUUGUUUUGAUCAUAUCUUCCUCAUCCGAACUUGGAAUCGCGCACCAUUUUUUUUUGUUGGAUUCCUUAUUCUUCAAGGAAUAUUUUAUCAAAAUUUGAGAAUUUUUGUCAACUAGUCGAUCAACCGUUCAACCAGAUUAAGUGCUAUCAUGGUCAACUCCAUAGUUAUUCACAUUAUGCUAAAGGAAGGAAGUGAGGUCUCUCCUAAAACUUCAGUUCAGUUGGAGUUCAUAGGAGUAGGUUCGAAUACGGAGCACCUGGGUUUGUUUUGAUCAUAUCUCCCUCAUCUGAACUCGGAAUUACGCACCAUUUAUUUUUUGGAUUCCUUAUUCUUCAAGGAAUAUUAUAUCAAAAUUUGAUAAUUUUUCUCAAUCGGUUCGACAAAAUUUUUUUGAGGCAGUCAACUGAUUCGUCGGGGCUGCUGGUAACGACACUGUUUUUGGCUCUUUUGAUGCUCUGUUUCUGGCUGGUUUGAGCCUGGGUGCUCCAGAUAGGUUUGGGGAAUAGUUUUAGGUUCGAUUUGGGCCAUUUUGUGGAGAGAUUGUAACCCAUGUUGAACCCAUGUGGAUUCUUGGUGAGUAAGGCAUGUUAAAGUUAUGAGAGGUAGCUGCCUACCUUGGGAAAAGGAGAACUAAAUGUGUUGGGGGGGUUCCAAAGCUGAAUGGAUGAUUUCCAGAGCAAAAAUGGGAGAAAAAUGGUGUGGUGCAGAUGCUGAAAAGGGAAGUCUGAGAGGUUUUUGAAAAUGAAGAAAAAGGAAGAGAUAGAAAAGGAAAAUCCUAAGAAGAGAUAGCUGUAGAAGGGGAACUAAAAAAAAAACGUGGGGGCAAAAUUCCUAAGAGUCUUUAAGGGUUUAGGUGACCUGGAGAAAAAUAGGAAGAAGGAAAAAAGAGAGGUCUGAGAGAAAAAUUGGGGAAGGUUUUUAAAGAAAAACAGAGAUAAUGAGAAAGGAAAGAAGAAAAAAGAUCUUGAGAAAAAAAAAGAGAGGAAUUUUUGUCUGCUUUGGAAAGGAGGAAAAGAAAUCGUGAUCACCAGUCUAGAGCGGAUUUUACAGAAGAAGAAUCAAUCUCACUUGAAGCUAAGGAGCACCUCUCGAAGGCUGGUUCUUCAGGUACAUUUCUGGUUCCUCAUAAAAUUCUUGCUUGCAUUUGGUUCCUCUUUUUGGUUGUUUCAGAAUGCUUAAUGAUUUAUUGAUUGGUGUGUACGAAAAGGGCCACAAAUUGUUAUGUUGAAAUUGGUUCUUUGUGUUUUUUCCAUGAUCUUCAUUCAAUUGAUGCCAUUGAUCCCAUUUGAUUUUGUUCAUGUUAAAAAUCUAUUUUGAAUCAUUCUCCCAUUUUAUAAACACAACGCAUGGUUCUCCCUCAUCUAGGCUCGUAAUUGAGUUCCAUUUCUUUUUUUGGAUUCAUUAUUGAGGAAUUUGCUGUUAAAAUUUUAGAAUUUUCUCAACCGUUUAAACCGGUUGGGAACCGAUUCAACUGGUCCUCCAUGACCAACCCUAUUUUAUAAACACAUUGCAUUGUUUCAGCCGGUUCUCCCUCAUCCAGGCUUGGAAUUAAGUGUCAUUUCUUUUAUUAGAUUCCUUAUUCUUUGAGGAAUCUGCUAUAAAAAUUUCAGAAUUUUUCUCAACUUGUGGGCCUCCUUUAGAGUUUUAAAUGGGCUCUAAACUAAAUUAGAAUAGACCCACUUCAGAGCUAAAGGCAUUAGGGGUCAGGUAAGUUUGGUUUGAUUUGAUGUUGGAGAUUGGUGAAUUGUUGUUUGAGGGAAUGUGUAAGGAAUAAAAUAAUUAGUUGCCAUCAUUUCCAUUCACUUCCUCUUUAAGCAUGAACUUUGAUGCUUGAUUGUGAAUACCUAAUACAUGCUUGCAUUUGUUGAUUCACUUUAUCUGCAGUGCAUGGCUGGGGACCACAGGUAUGCACUUUGACUUUGGAUAAUGGAAUUCACAUGAAUGCUUGGUGCAUGAUUGCUAUGUAUAUUUGUUGUGCAUUUAAGCUUAUUGACUGACCUCUUAUGCAGCGCUUGGCUGGGGACCUCAGGUAUGCACUCUGAUUUUUACUUGUUGAGUGUAUGUGCAUGCUAAAUACUAAGCGGGUCUAUGUGAUUCAUGUCAUUUGUUUAGCCUAAGGUUUGUUUGAUCUUUGACCCAUAUGCUCCUCCCAUAUAUCCAGUUCAUUAGUAGAGAUUGAGUUCCAGGCCUAAAGGGGUGCUACCUCGCAUGAGGUACCUUCUUGAUAGGUAACCUGAUCCCCGGACCUAGAAUCUAGUUUUUGCAUAUCGUUUUUUCCUAACUGGAAUCAUGUUGGGGUUUUUGUUCUUACUUAAGUUUUCCCCAUUUAAAAAUAAAAAUAAAAAGUAAGUGGCGACUCCAAACAAUACCGUGUCUUACCUCGAAAAUCAGCUUUCCCUUUUAUUUUUUAAAAUAUCGAGUCGCGCCUAUCUGUAAAUUGGGUGAGGGUCCACAAAUUGGCGACUCUGCUAGGGAUCGAACCCAGAAUCUCUGGUUUCAUAAGAGGAUCAAACUUGAACUUGAGUUGGGUAUAUUGGAGCACAUGGUUCAUUGACCAAUUUACUCUUAGGCUUUAUAAGUGACUGGUGAUCACCUACUUGGUUGGUAUUUGACUUGCACUUGUGAUGAGUUGUUGCCUGUGUGUUCACUUGAUUGGCAGUGGCAUGCUUAUUCGUUGUUGUUGGUUCUUGGUUUUGAGGUUCAUGAUAAGCUUAGAUGAUUAGCUUGUGUGUAGAUUGUAUGGUAGGGUAUUUCUUUGCACAUGACUGCUUGCUGCAUGACUGUCCUUUCUCUUACAUGACUGCUUGUCAUUUGUGUUUGUGGGGCGCGAUUGUAUCCCCUUAUUUCCGAAUCACUAUCUUGGUCGACUAUUCCUUAUUGGUUUCUUGAAUUGUUUGGGAGUCAUUCCCAACUAUUUACCUUCGACCAAGUUAGGGGUUCGGAAUAGGGUCUAGCAUAAGGACUAUAUCGAUGUUUGGGAGCAUUAUGGAGAUGGCAGAUAUCCUAGCAAUGAAGACCUGUAUAGCUCUGAGUUGGAUUUCAUGGAUACCUGCGUGGCUAGAGUGUCACUUUGAUUGUUGGUUAGAAUCAUAGGUUGCCUAUCCCCUUUGUGGGUACUGUCAUCUAGCUUUUAGGACAUGCCUUUUCUCGUUAUUGGAUUUUGAGCCACCUUACCCCUGAGGUAUCACCAUGUCAGAAUCCCGCUCCUGCCCGUGGAGCCAUGUAUUAGAUUAACUGUUAACAUCACAUGACAGUUCAUUCCCUUGGAGGAUUUAGUCGUGGGAUUACAUUACAUUAUUGAUUUCAGGACUGUUAGUCACGGGGAUUGAAUUACCCUUUUUCUUUCGUAGAUUGUUGAUUGAGAUCGACCUGGGUUCUCGAGCUUGGAUCAGGUUUGGAGGUAGACUUGUUAGAGGAUCAGACCAAUAUAGCCAGUUAAGAUAGACAUUAGUUCAGAGAGAUAUGGACCUGUAGUAUGCUACUGUUGACCAGUUGGCAGAAAUUACAGAUACCAUGGCGUCACUUAGAGAUGCUAUUUUACGACUGGGUCAAAGGAUUGACGGGUACCAGGCCCCACCAGUAUCGAUUUAGGGGACCACCCCACAUAAUUCUUCCACACCCCCACCACCACCACCAUUUGGACCUACCAUAUAGUCGGACUACACAAUCCCACCUCCAUCACCACCCCCAGUUUAGUCAACCCCACAGGCAAGGGCCUUUGUCUUACAUGGUCAAACUGAGACUAUGCCACAUUCUGUUGUGCCCCCAGCACAGGUUGCAGAUGAUACUCAGGCCUGCAUUGAGAAGAUUGAGCAGAGGAUGAGGUUACUGCAUGUCACCGAUGGAGUCAUGACUUGGGAUGGAUAUGAUGACCUGCCGGUUGCAGCUUUUUCGGUUGAGUUCCGCAUGCCGAACAUUAAGAGAUACACGAGGAUUGGGUGCCUUCGUAUUCACUUGCAGUUGUACAAUUUUGUUAUGCGCGACCAUAGGUUAGACGAGACAUAGAUGAUCAUGUUGUUCCCUCUGUCCCUGAAUGGUGCCACCCAGCGAUGGUUUGUUUCAUUGGACAACUCACGACGCUGGACAUGGACGAUCUGGCAUAGGAGUUUCUCAGACAGUAUUCCUUUAAUACUGUAGUUGAUAUAUCUCAAAGAGAGUUAGAGGCCCUCAGACAGAGGCCGGAUGAGACGGUUACCUCCUUCAUCUCCCGUUGAAGGGAGAAGAUAGCACAGUUUAUUGACAGACCCUCAGAGCGUGAUUAGAUCAGUAUGAUUAUACGCAGUCUUCAGUCCCGCUACGCUAAACAUCUCAUGGGCUUUCCACAGACAGACUUUGGCUCCUUAGUGCAGGCCCUCUAUGGCAUCGAGGAGGGUAUAUCUAGAGGAUUAUGGGUAGAUUCUUCCCCCUCAGACUCAAAGGGGAAGAAGUCGGGGUCAGGACCUAGGCCAUCAGGUGUUGGCACCAUUGGUAUGAUGGGGCAUAGGUCCCCGCGUCAACCUUAGACUCAGAGGCAGUUUUUAGAUACCUCUUAUAAGAUGAUACAAUAUGAUCAGUAUAGGCCAGUUAUUCCUAUUAGGCCAGUAGGGCCUGCUUAUUUGCAUCUGUCGCCAUAACCAGUAUAUGCUACACAGGCAUUCCAGAGGCCACCCAUGCAGUUCCAUCAAUAUAGAGCACCGCCUCCGCUGAGGCCAGCUAGAUAGUUCACAUAGCUUGGGAUGCCAUUGAGCAAAGCAUUUCAGAGAUUGGUUGAGGGGGGAUUGAUUGUCCAGUUACCACACCACCACUACAGCCUACCCCACCAAGAUUCAGGACAGGCCUUCACUGUGCUUACCACGAGAAAGCGGGCCAUGAUACAGACAAUUGCUCAGCAUUGAGACAAGUUAUACAGGACUUGAUUGAUCAGGGUUUGGUUGAUUUGAGAUGACUCGUAGUGACCAAAAACCCGUUACCUACUCAUGACACUAGAGUUGUACCUCCACCCCUAGAGGGAAUCCAUUUGAUUGAGCACACAAAGGGUGAUGUAUUUAUGAUGGGAUGGGAUGGAGAGGCUUUUCAGUCAAUCAAUUUCUAUGAGGACUCAAAUUUCAUUAGAUAUACUUCAAACUAGCAGAUCCCUAGGCCAUUCAAGUUGGCCCCAAACAGGAUUCCUAGACGACCAUCAGCACCACCAGGAUAUUUGCAGCACGCACCACCUUUGACACUUUUCAUUCUGUUCCCAGAGGGGUAUGGGCCUGCUCAUAGAGAUGUUCAGAUAGUCACACGGAGCGGGAGAGUUGCACAUCCUCCACCUGUCGAUAGGUCAUUUGCUGGUACAGCUUCUAGAGAUGAGAUUCAGAGAAACGAUGAUGAGAUUUUACGGCAGUUGCGCAUUACGCAGGCUUGCAUAUCCAUUUAGAGCUUAUUGGCCUCAUCUAGCACACAUAGAGAUGCAUUGGUCAGAGCCCUUGGCCAAAUUAGAGUUGAUACUACUACCACCCCAGAGGGGCUGAUUCAAUUUCUAACAAUUGAUUGGGCUACGUGCAUCGUAUUUUCCUACGAUGACUUGCCACCGGAGGAGUCAGGUCACAUUUGCCCUUUGUAUAUUAGUGUUGCAUGUUCAGGCCAUCAGGUGCCGACAGUCUUGCUGGACAACGGCUCUGCCCUGAAUGUUUGUCCUUUGGCUUCAGCCAUUGCUCUUGGCUUUUCUCCAUUUGAUUUUGGGCUAUCUACAUAGACCAUCAAAGCUUAUGAUGGGACUCAGAGGACAGUUAUGGGUACAAUUACUGCACACGUUAUGAUUAGGCUAGUCAGAUACUCAAUGCUUUUCCAAGUUCUAAGGAUUCAGUCAUCCUUUAACCUGUUUCUUGGUCGUCCUUGGAUUCAUGAGGCUGGCGCCAUACCAUCUUCCCUUCAUCAGAAGCUAAAGUUCAUACACGAGGGUCGCAUUAUCACGAUACAGUCUGAUUGGGAUGUUGUCACUUCUUCCGAGCCAGUAUUACAGAUUAGUCACAGUGAGGAUGACUUGCAUUUGACCGAGUUUACUUUCGAUGAGGUUUAGGUUAUAAGUUUAGAGGAUGACAACAUGGAUAUGGUGCCUAUGUCAUUCGACUAGUACAGUAGCACCUUGGUGCUUAACAUGAUGAGGGGCAUGUCUUAUCUGCCCAGCUUGGGAUUAGGUCACCAUCAGCAUGGACCACGCGAGUUUACUUUCACAGUUGAUCAUGACACACCUUAUGGGUUAGGUUACACUCCUACGGAAGAGGAUGCACAUUACAUGGUGCGACUGCGCAAGGACAGAGUAAGGGCCCGCUUGUCUGGGGUCCCAUUUGGUUACCCCCUUUGCUCGUACACCUUUCAGUUGACUGAUUACUUUGUCAGAGGUUCAGAUCAUGCACCCCACAUAGAGGGGAUCGUUUGUAUUUUAGAGGCUGUUGAGGUUCAGGACCUCCAGCGGACCUUGGGAUAGAUGCAUUUGGGUACCGGGAUCCUUGAGACACCUGAUGUUAUGAUAGUUGCACCCCCGUCGCUCAACCGAGCCAGCAUGUUUUCCGUAUGCUUCCUGGAGGCAGUUUUUGAUUAUGAUAUACUUGUGGAUACUGUGAUUGAUGUUGAUGGAGUGACUCUGCCUGAUUCUUGCACCGAUGAGAUGGACAUGAUAGGGGUAGGUCGCAUUCUCGAUGCAGUCCCACACGGUCCCCACUCUGAUUUUGAUUUGUUUGGAGUUUCUAUGAUUGACACUGAUGAUGUGACUCUUUAUGAUGCUUGCACAGACGAGAUGGAUAUGAUUGGUACUGGUCGUAUUCUGGAUGCAGUCCACACGGGCCUCAUUCUGCUUUGGAUAUGUUUGGGGCUUUUAUGCUUGAAAUAGAUGAUGAUGACUUUGCUUCUGUUGUUACUACUGAUGUUAUUACUGUUGAGGCAACGUCCAAUUUUGUGGACCCACCUCUUUCUUUUAACACUAUGUCCGGGUUUGUCACCCACUUUGAUGAUGUGGCUGGUGGAAAUAAUAAUGAUAUGAGUGUUUUCGAGUAUUCACCUAUGUCACUGCAUUUUCCUUUGAUUGUAUCACCGACACCUACGACAUAUACACAUGAUGUUGAUGAUGUGAGAGACCCAAAUGACCCGUGCAUUCAAGAAGAAGAUUAAGCCCAAGAAAUUCCAGAAAGGUGACCUAGUUUUGAAGGUCCUCAGGGGAUUGAUCAGCGACCAUAGAGACAAGUUCAGACCGAGCUAGAGCGGGUCAUAUGUUAUCCAAGAUUUGACCCAAGAGGGAGCUACCUGGUUGAAAGAUCUGGACGGAAAUCAGUUUUUGGAGCCAGUCAAUGUGGAUCAGUUGAAGAAGUUUUACGUGUGAGAUCAUGGUCAAAGGAUGGGUGGCCAUCGUUUUGAGUAGCCAUAUUCCCUGUUGCACACCGACACAUUAAUAUAUCCCAUUGCUAGCCCAUUAAGCCUCACAAGAUUCAUUAUGACCUAUUUGUUCACUUAGCCUUGUGAUUUCAUGCCAAACUGGUGUAUGUCCUGUUGAUUGGUGUUCAAUCCACUGGUGUACCUUGAUUUCGGUCCUCAGACGGGAGUAAUCAACAAAAUUUAUAACCUAUAUCACCAUGUACUAGGAUAGCCUCAGCUAGCAUAGCAUAGUGACUCUAGGAUCGUUCACUGGGAAGGGUUUUCAACUUACUACUGAUAUUAAUUCAAAGUUGAAUUGGUGAUUUUUCGUUUCAAGGUUAGCUUUAAAAGAAAACAUAAACUUUGUUUUAAAAAGGAUUGGUUUUAAGCUAACCAAAAAUAGUAACUGAUUUUAAUUAUAAAGAAAAGUGUUUCUUGGAGUUUUUGGAUCACUGGGGUCAGACUCUUAAUACAAAAAUAGAGUUCCGGUCACUUGAAUCUUUUCCUUGCAUUGGAAAUUUAACAUAUAGUUAUUUCUCUAACCGGUGUGGUAUAGAUACUUCCUUUUAAUGGGUUCAAACACUAAAUCCCUCUCAUUGAUUCAUCUUGCAAUGGUUCGUGCCUCUCACCUAGCAUUUACCAUUCAAGGUGAUCCUUAACCUUGGAUUUCCAUUCAAAAGCUCGUAAGAGAUAACUAAUGGAUGUCUCCUUAGAGUCCAAAAGCUUACCAAGUGUUGGCUAUUCUAGAAAAUCCUACCUUCAAACCACCUCCCAAAGGCUCGCAAGAGAUAAACUAGUGCAUCUCAAUGGACGGAGAUCACUUGCCUUACCAAGUGUUAGCCCAGGUGAUUUAAAGGCGUUUUAAGUUAACUAAAAACAUAGAAACCAUUAACGGGUCACACUUUCUUUUCAUUAAAAGCUGAAACAACAAAACUUCCAAUUUUUGCAUUCGGCACCUUACCCAGCUUCCUUAACUCCAAGACACAAAAAGUUUAGCCACUCAUUCUCUGAGGAAACAUCCUCAGAGCUUGUUUGGCUAGUAAGAAAAAUACAAUCAAAAUGAGUAGGUAAGGCAGAGCAAAGCUCUAUGGAUUACUUCCUUCAAAACUAUACAAAAAAUUGUCUCUGAGAACAACCUCCCGAGAUGUCUGUGUAAAGAAAAUUACAAAACUAUAUAUAAGAGGUUAUUCACCCUUUGCUCUUACUUACUAACUAAGGAAUCCUAUGAUUGGUGGAUUACAAGGAGAAAAUGAGGAUUUAAACAGCAAAUAUCUGAAGAAAAAAUCUAAAAGAGUCGGUCGCAAAUAUCUGGAAGCACUCAGGUGGAUUUUGUAGCAUGCAACAUGGGUUGUGAAAUUUCGCAAGCUGAAAGUCUCUAUUUCGCAGCUAGCACUUUGUGAUUUCGCAGCUGCGAAAUUGGCCUUUAGCUUGGUGCGCUUGGCUUCCAGUGGCUAUAACUUCUUCAUUUCAGCUCCGAUUCGUGCACCAUUUGAAGUGUUGGACUCCUGACUUUCGAGCUUCGAAACGACAUAUAGUAUGCAUGAAAUGGACUCCAUAAAGUGCUCUAAAUGUGUCCAACUGAUGUUGUCCUCUUGAAUUCUUCAUGUUAGAUUUCUAUUUUUGUUUCUCCUCCUUACAUUCAUGAUUUGCUUUUGGAAAAGGACUACAAAGCUCCAAAGCCUGGAUUCUUCUUGUAAAUGAGCUUCUAAUUGCUUUUCCAUGGAUUCUAUCGAACUCUCCUCAAUCUUGGAUUGCUUUGGUGAUAAAAAAAAUAUCAAAAACACCAAAACUUAACACAAUUUGAUUAGAAAAUAUUGCAAGGGUCCUUAAUAUGCCAAUUGAAUUAAAAGGUAAUAACUACUACUCAAAAUUGUUUAAAAGAGUUAUUUUCAAGCUAUAAAAUAAUAGUUUUUGAGUAGUAAUCACCUUGCAUAUCUUUUCUCAUGAUUCGUUCCCAAUUGGUGUAUCAACUGAUUCACAUUCUCUCAAUGGUCCCCGAAAAUGACGCCAUUUGAUUCAUGCCCAGCUGGUGUACCUUGAUUUUGGUCCUCAGAUGGGAGUAAUCAACAAAAUUUAUAACCUAUUACACCAUGUACUAGGAUAACCUCAGCUAGCAUAGCAUAGUGGCUCUAGGAUCGUUCACUGGGAUGAGUUUUCACUUCACAAUUGAUAUUAAUUCAAAGCUGAAUUGUUGUUUUUUCAUUUCAAGGUUAGCUCUAAAAGAAAACAUAAAGAUGUUUGAAAAGGUUGGUUUUAAAGUGAAACCAAUAAAAUAAUAGAAAUUACUUACAAAGAAAAGUGUUUCUUGGAGUUUCAGAUUACUAGGCUCAGGUUCCUAAUACAAAAAGAGAGUUUCGGUCACUUGUUUCUUUUCCUCGCAUUGGGGAUUUAACAUAUAGUUAUUUCCCGAACCGGUGUGGUACAGAUGCUUCCCCUUAAUGGGUUUAAACACUAAAUCCCUCUCACUGAUGCAUCUUGCAAUGGGUCAUACCUCUCACCUAGUAUUGGCCAUUCAAGUGAUCCUUAACCUUGGAUUACCCGUCAAAAAAUCGCAAGAGAUAACUAAUGGAUGUCUCCUUAAAGUCCAAAAUCUUACCAAGUGUUGGCUAUUCUAGAAAAUCCUACCUUUAAACCACCUUCCAAAUGCUCGCAAGAGAUAAACUAGUGUAUCUCAAUGGAAGGAGACCACUUGCCUUACCAAGUGUUGGCCCAGGUGAAUUUAAGGCGUUUUAAGUUAACUAAAAAGAUAAAAAACAUUAACGGGUCACACUUUCUCUUCAUUAAAAGAUGAAACAAAAAAACUUCCAAUUUUUGCAUGUAGAAACUUACCCGGCUUUCUUCACUCCAAGAGACAAAGAGCCUAGCCACUCAUCCUCUGAGGAAACAUUCUCAAAGUUUGAUUUGCUAGAAAUAAAAAUAACAAGAAAACAAAAAUAUGAAGGAAAAACAGAGCAAGUGCUCUGUAAAAUAUAUUUCUUACUAUCGUCGAUUACAUAUCUGAUAUAUGCUAUAUGAUGUAUAUUUUUACAUUGGUUCAAAGAUAUAUAUAGAGAAGAUAUUUUCUAAGAAAUAUCCCAAUUAUAUCUUUGACUGAUUACAAGGAGAAAAUAGAAAUUUACACAAAAUAUCUUGAGAAAAAAAUCUAACUGAGUCGGUUGCAAAUAUCUGAGAUUGCACAGGUGGAUUUUGCAAGGUGAUUCACAUGUUGAAUUAUCCAUUUUGCAAGUUUGAACUUUGAUUUUGCAAGUUGAAUUUGUGAUUUCACAACUUGGAGGUGAUUCCACAACUUGGAGAUGAUUUGCAACUUGUUUCGCAGCUUGGAGGUGAUUUUGCAACGUGGUUCGCAGCUGCGAAGAUGGAGUUUCAACUUGCGAAGUGGCACACGUGUGCUUGGAGGUGGUUUCGCAGCUGUGAAACACCUUGUGAAAUUUCACAAGUGGAUUUCAUUUCGCAGCUCAUUUCGCAGCUGCGAAAUGGGCUUUGGGCUACGAAAUUUUCGCAACUCAUUUCGCAACUGCGAAAUUUUCGCAUAGCUUGAUGCGAUUGUCUUCAAAUGGCCAUAACUUCUUUGUUUCAGCUCCAAUUUGCACACCGUUUGAAGCGUUGGACUCCUAAAUUCCCAAGCUUCGAAACAAAAUAUAGUAUACAUAAAAUAAACUCCAGGAAGUACUUGAAAUGUGUCCAAUAGUUGCUAUCCUCUUGAAAUUCUUGUUAGAUUCCUCUGUUUUUCCUCCUUGCAUUCUUGAUUUGCUUUUGGCAAAGGACUAAAAAGCUCCAAAGCUUGGAUUCUUCAUGUAAAUGAGCUUACAUUUGCUUUUCCAUGGACUAUAUAAAGCUUUCCCUCAUCUUAGAUUGCUUUGGUGAUCAAAAAGCUAUCAAAAACACCAAAACUUAACACAAUUUGAUUAGAAACGAUUGUAAGGGUCCUUAACAUGCCAAUUGAGUUAAAAGGUAAUAACUACUACUCAAAAGUGUUUAAAAGAGUUAAUUACAAGCUAUAAAAUAGCACUUUUUGAGUAGUAAUCAUCUCACUUGGGUUGGGGGCCUCCUCUUGUGCGCUUUGCAUUUAUUGUUUGGAUCGGUGAGUAUUAUGAGUCCAUUGUGUCAUUGUUCAUUUGUUUCAUUUUUGGGUCAUUCAUGAUUUCUUCUUUCCUACAUUGUGCAUCUUCUCUUUGUCUGUCUUUGAGUUUUGUUUCUAUCCUUUCGAUUAUUUUCGCUUCCAUCUUCCCUUGUGUGAUGAUGAUACGCUCUCGUCCCGAAGCACCUACAGUAUGUUAAACUCCACCUAUUCACCCUUGUAAUGAGCACGGAGGUCGGUGACUCCCAACCAAUGAAGGCUUAGGGCACCAGGUUUUAAAGAUUUUCACCAUAUACCCUUCAGACCUUGCUCGGGUUUCAAGGCAAGCAAACAUUUUUCUGUCUCUUUUUUUCAAAGGCUCAUUAGCCUUUUAUAAGGUGUCCCAACACUAUUAAAUGAGGUCAAAGGUACCAAGUCUAAAUUUUCCUAAGUUGAAAGGGAAAUAGCUUUUCAUCUUAUAAUCAGACCCUAGUGUGCACAGUGUGUGAAUAGCUUAAAGUGAAAGAAAUAAGGUUGAAUUCAAUAGAAGUUUCAACAAUUCAUCAACUUUAAUAAGCAUAAUACAAACUCUAAGUCAAGUAAAAAGACAAAAAUUCAAUUUUUUCCAUUUUAUUUUGAGAAUUUUUCCUUAAUAACCAUGGAGAGUAGAAUAAAAACUUUAAAAAUUUUAAAAAUUAAGCAAAAAGCAACUAAAUUACCAAAAUAACUUAGCAUUAAUAACAAAACUUCCUUCCUCAACUCUCUUCCCCCCUCCCCCAACCAAGCUGAACAUUGCCCUCAAUGUGGCAACAUCGAUUGAAAUUACAGGGAGAAAGUGGUACCUCCUAAGUGACAUGAAGUUUGAGUAGAAUAGGAGAAACCACAUGUUUCAAAAAACAACAAAAGAUAUGAGUAGAGGAAUUAAAAUAAGAUUAUGCCAAGUAUACUAAAAAAAUUGAUAGAUAUGUAUUACUUUAAGAAAGUACACUAUGGAGCAAAAACAAGUAAUACAUCCAAUCCUAAUAUAUAAAACAUAAAAAACAUGGGAUUAUGAGUUCUACUAAAGUAAAGAAAUACAGAAAAAAAAGAAGCUAAAUGAUCAGAUAGUGGUGGGAGGAUCAUGUGGAGAUGAUGGCUCAGCUGUAGAAGUCUGAGUGCUCGGGAUGGAUGCCUCUAUCUCUCUUGUAGUCGUCUCCUCAUGGGGCAUAGUCUGCUUUGCUAGAGAAGGAUCCUGGGAUGGAUCAGUAGGCUCUGAUGGGAUAGGCAUAUCGUGCUCAAGUGGUGAUAGAAUACCCAAAUGCUAUUGUAUCUGUCUAAGAAUGGUAGUAUGCUGGGUCUGGGUGGCGAUAAGAUGAUCCUGAUGUGCACGUAUGGCCUCCAUCUUCUGGGCAAGGACGCUCUGAGUAGCGGUUAAUGUCUACAAAGUAUGACAUAGGCCUCUGAACUCUAAAAUGGAUAUGGUGAUACUAGACUCAGAUAGAUGAGGCUCGGAAGCAGCUGGUACAACUGGCGGAGUCCUGGGAGUGGCAUGAGGAGCAGAGGAUGCAACCUCAGGCAUAGGUCCUGUAGAGGGCAUUACAGGGGCAAAAACUCUGAUAUCAGUAGGUAUCUCAACCUGCUAUGGCUUCUCUAGAUGCUCUGGAUGUGGUAUCUUUGGAUGCUCUAGUCCAACUGGAGCUCCUGGCUGUGCAUCAUAGGCUGUCAUACUAGUCCAUUUGUUAAGAGUGAAUAUCUCUUGGCAAAUGCAUCUAUGCUCAAGCUGAGGCUUAGAUGGAUAUCCCAAGUGCUCUAAUAUCUUACAGAGCAACCUCAAGAAUAGAAGUGGAAUGGCAUCCUCUCUCAACAGCUUAUUCUUGUGGACUUCUCUUCAAAGUAAAGAAGAGCGGCCAUGAAGAAAUGAUGAGGGCCAAAGAAAAAUCCCUCUGAUAUCUGGAACAAGGACUCUAGUAAAGCUCCUCUCCUCUGCACCAUAUGCUGAAGUGGAUAGAUGUUGUGGCGCAGAAGUGCAUCGAGAAAGAACAUGCUGGGCGGGAGCUCCUUCCUCAAAAGAUAUGGGCAUGUGGAUGUCCCUCUUGACAGUAUAUGAACCAUAUCACUCUGAGAAGGAUGAGCCCACACUCUAUAAUCCUCUGGAUGUGCUGGCUCAUAAGGAAUGCGCAGGGCCUCUACUAUGUGUCUGGCUCCCAAGAUACCAUGUCGUCCUUCAAUGGUGAAGUGGAUGACAAUAGGAUCCCGGACGCAAUGUGUAGUCAUAGACUGAUAAAAGUCUAAUGCUACACAGGGAUAGAAGAAAUCCCUAGGAGUCAUCAGAUGCUCUAAAUGGUACCUCUGUCUGGAGUAGAUGGAAUGAAUCUCUGAGCUCUGGUUGAAGCCUGAAGGUCUCUCCAUCAAAACAAAGCUUGGAGUGGAAUGGCCUGGCCUGGCAAUCCAAAUUGCCCUCUAUGGGUUGCUGAGUGACCAUGGGCCGCCUGAGUCAUCCUAAAGGGAAUCUGAGACUUUGUAGUAGGCGGUUGAGGCUCUGACGAAGGCUCUGAUGGCUCUACUGGAACUGAUAUCCUUUCUUUCUUCUUAGGAGGGCAGCUAGCUGACUUCUUGGGAUGAGAGGAGCUUGACCCUGGUGUAGUGGGUGGUCUCCUGGUUUCAUAUUGUCUCAGAUGAGGACUCGGGGGUGCUCCCUCUAUUGAAGGUGGGACGACAAGUGGCUGUGAAGGCUCAGUCAUGGAGUCUUGCACAUGAACCACUCUCGGUGCUCUGGUGCGGGCUGAUGGAGAUGAGUUCUUGGCUCCUCUUGUUUUGGCCAUGGCCAAUGAUUCGUUCCCAAUUGGUGUCUCAGCUGAUUCAUGUUCAGCUAGUGCUCUUUGAUUGAGAGAGUAAUCAACAAAAUUUAUAACCUAUAUCACCAUGCAUUAGGAUAACUUAGCUAAUAUAGCAUAGUGGCUCUAGGAUCGUUCUCUGGGAAGGGUUUUCAACUCACAACUGAUACUAAUUCAAAGGUAAAUUGGUGCUUUUUCAUUUCAAGGUUAGCUUAAGAAAUAAAACAUAAACUUUGGUAAAAUGAGGUUUUGUUUCAAGCUAACUGAUUCACGCUUGACUUCCCAGCCGGAUCUUUUAAUCAAAAACAUUUAUAAAACCUAUGACCUUAUACUGGCGUAGCAAAGCUACUAUAGUAUAGCAGUUCUAGGGUCGAACUCAGGGAUGGGUUUUCACUCUACCAAUGAUAGACUCUAAAUUAGAAAUUGAUUCUGAUGAUUUCCUUUAGCACAAACUUGAAAUUUAAAAGAAAAUAAAAUUGUUUUGAAAGUGGUGAUUUAAACUAAACUCACAUAGAACUAAGUAAAAAGUGGAAGAAAGAAAGUCUCCCGGAGCUAAAGGUUGCUAGGUUCAAGUUCAGGAUGCAAAGUGGAAAAUUCCGGAUUUUUCUCCUCGCAUUGGGGAUUUAACCUAUAGUUAUUUCCCGAACCGGUAUAGGUUUGACAAUGAAGAUUUAAUCCAUAAAAAGUCAAUAGAGAUGGUAGUCAAGGUCCGUUAAUGGCUUAAGACUGUAUGGGCUAUCACCUUGAAUCACUUUCCAAUGGCUCGUACAUGAUAACUAAUGGAUUGAUAUGGAUCUAGCAAUAAGCAUCCACAGAGACCUUAAGCUUACCAUGUAUUGGCCAGUCAAAGUGAUCCUAAGGGAUUUAAGGCAAAACCUUGGCUUUAGAAGCCAUUUAUGGACUCCAACUACCUGAAUUUAAUGCACGGAAACUUUCCACCUUUUAAUCUGGACUUUUCACCUAGCUUCCUUUACUCCCAGAAACUAAAUAUUUAGCCUCUCAUCCUCUGGGAAAACAUCCUCAGAGGGUGUUUGGCUUGCAAGAAAAUAGAAAAUAGAAGAGAGAAAAAGAAAGUAAAAGAGAUCUCUGUAUUUCACUAAGUAACAAAUUUACAAAAGUUGGUCUCCUGGAGAAAGCUCCCCGACGAAGAUAUAUUUUCAGUGAUUACAAGAGAAUUUAUAUAGGAAGGUAGUUUUACCCUUCCUUGGAUACUUCCUAGCUAAGGAAUUACAUGGUUGGUUGAAUACAAGGAGAAAAUGGAAAUUUAAACACAAAAAUAUCAGAAGAAAAAAGAGUUGGCAAAAAUAUCCAAUUUUCGCACGCUGAGUUCCAAUUUCGCAUGUUGGUUUGAGGUGUGCAAAAUUUUCGCACAGUGGACUGAGGAUUUCGCACCUUAAACAGUGGUGUGCGAAAUUGUCCCUCAGCUUGAUGCAGUUGUCUUCCGAAGUCCAUAUCUUCCUCAUUUCAGCUCCAAAUCAUACGUGGUUUGAACCAUUGGAUUUUUGACUUUCUGAGCUUCGAAAUGGUAUAUAGAAUGUAAAGAAUGGACUUCGGGAAGUGCUCCAAAAGUGCACUAAAAGGCUGCAGCUGUGUCCCCUGUUUUCUUCUUCUCCAUUGUUUCUCCCUUGUAAACUUUGAACGAUUAAGGCAAAGGAUUAUGAGGCUCCAUAGCUUGAUUUCUUCAAAAAUCAAAGCUUCCAAAAGCUUUGCCAUGAACUAUAAAUAGCUCUCCCUCAUUCUUAAAUUGCUUUGGUGGGCAUAAAGCUAUCAAAAAGCACCAAAACUUAACACAAUUGUUAGAAAUCUGAUUGCAAGGGUCCCUAACAUGUUAAUCGAGUUAAAAGGUAAUAAUUACUACUCAAGAGUGUUUAAGAGAGCUAAUUACAAGCUACAAAAUAGCAUGUUUUGAGUAGUAAUCACUAACUAAAAAGAAAAUAAUAGAAAUUAUUUAUGAAGAAAAACAUUCCUUGGAGGUUUGGGUUCACAGGGGAGGUUUCUUAUGCAAAAACAGAGCUCCGGUCAUUUGGUUCAUUUCCUCGCAUUAGAGAAUUAACAUAUAGUCAAUUCUCUAACCGGUGUUGUACAGAUGUAACCUUUAAAUGGAUUUCAGCUCUAAUUCCCUCUCACUGAUGCAACUUGCAAUGGCUCGUGCCUCUUACCUAGCAUUUGCCAUUCAAGGUGAUCUUUAACCUUGGAUUUCCCUUCAUAAGCUCGCAAGAGAUAACUAAUGGAUGUCUCCUUAGAGUCCAAAAGCUUACCAAGUGUUGGCAAUUCUAGAAAAUCCUACCUCCAAGUCACUUCCCAAAAGCUCGCAAGAGAUAAACAAGUGCAUCUCCAUGGACGGAGAUCAUGUGCCUUACCAAGUGUUGGCUCAAGUGAAUUGAAGGUGUUUUAAGUUAACUAAAAACAUAGAAAUCAUUAAAGGAUCACACUUUCUUUUCAUUAAUGGCUGAAACCACAAAGCUAUAAAUUCUUGCAAUUGGAACCUUUCCCGGCAACCUUAGCUCCAAGGAACUAAAAGCCUAGCCACUCAUUCUCUGAGGAAACUUCCUCAGAGCUUGUUUGGCUAGUAAGAAAAAGAAUGAGAAAAUAAAAAUAUAUAUGAAAAACAGAGCAAGUGCUCUGUAAAAUAUAUUUCUUGCAAAAUUGUACAAAGGUUCCUUUUAGAACAAGCUCUCUAGAGAUCGUCCUUUGUAAAGAAAAUUACAACUAUAUAUAAGAGGUUAUUCACCCUUUGUUCUUACUUAAAGACUAAGGAAUCCUAUGAUAGGUGGAUUACAAGGAGAGUUUGGGGAUUUAGACAUCAAAUAUCUAAAGCAAAAUAUCUCAAAAUGUCGGUCGCACAUAUCGGGAAGCUUCAAGAGAACACCGCGGCACUGUGCAAAAAUCCGGGUAAUCUGAAAUGUCGGUCGCGAAUGCUCUCUGGGUAAGCGCAAUCAGAGGAUCCGGAUAUGUCUGAUCGGGGAAGUUGAAAUGCCUCUUCUCCCAUCUGGUGUCAGGUGCCGGAUGUGAAAUAUCCGAUCAGAGGAUCCGGACAUGUCUGACCGGACAGAAUUCCGGGAGUGAGAUAUCCGCGCGUUGCAAGGGGGACCAUCUGCGUGUACUAGGUGUAGGGACCCCUCCCCCUGAUGACAUGGAGCGCGCAUUGCUAUCCAGCGCAACUCCAUCCGGAUUCCCCAAGAGAAGCACACGGCACUCGUGAACAUCACACUUCGGAUGAUAGCAUAUCCAAUCCGGAUAUGUUUGUCCGGAUCAUUGACUAAAGUGAGCAAGCCUUGCUACAGCCCACGUUCCGCCGCUCUCCAAUGGUGUGUCCGAACGCCCUGUCUGGAUAUCUUUGCCAUGGAUUCCAAAGAACUCUCCUCAAUCUCGGAUUGCUUUGGUGAUCAAAAAGCUAUCAAAAUACCAAAACUUAACACAAUUUGAUUAGAAUUGAUUGCAAGGGUCCUUAAUAUGUUAAUUGGGUUAAAAGGUGAUAACUACUACUCAAAAGUGUUUAAAAGAGUUAAUUACUAGCUAUCAAAUAACAUUUUUUGAGUAGUAAUCACUCCCCCCAACCGACAUAUUGCUAGUCCCUUAGCAAUGAAGGAGAGACAAAAUAAAAAUAAACAGUACUAUAAUUUACAACAUCAUGCUGAUCAAAAAACAAUUUUCAGGUGGCAUGAUGAUCUAACUCUCACAUGGAACAUUAAAGAAAUAAAACUCAAACUUCAACAAGAGUUAUCAAAUAACUUGUCUAAUCACAAUUCUUAAAGAGAAGGCAUUAUGCAAAUUUAAGCUUUAAAAGAGUUUCCACUCCCAAAGGGUCAAACUUUACUCUUCCACAAAAAUCUAAGUGUUAUUUAUUAGUUUCCGAAUAUAGUAUGUUGAACUAAUCUCUCCCCUCAACCUAGUUCUUUUUCAAAGCUUAGCAAGCUGAUCAACCUCCAAUAGGCUAAGAACACACCUCUUUUUUCACAAUUUUUUCAUUGUAGGAGUACAAGGCUUAAAGGUAUUCUUUUCGAAAUUGUCCAUGUAACGAGGGUCCAUCAAUGACUCCCAACCAAUUAAGGUUUAGGGCAUCAAGCUUUAAGGAUCUUUCAACCACUAACUCCUCGGAUUUUACCCCGGACUUUUGAGAAUGAAUUUUAAUACCCAAGCACCUACAGUAUGUUAAACUCCACCUAUUCACCCUUGUAACGAGCAUUGAGGUCGGUGACUCCCAACCAAUGAAGGCUUAGGGCACCAGGUUUUAAAGAUUUUCACCAUAUACCCCUCAGACCUUGCUCGGGUUUCAAGGAAAGUAAACAUUUUUCUUUCUCUCUUUUUUCAAAGACUCAUUGGCCUUUUAUAAGGUGUCCCAACACUAUUAAAUGAGGUCAAAGGUACCAAGUCUAAAAUUUUCCUAAGUCAAGAGGGAAAUAGUUUUUCAUCUUAUAAUCGGAACCUAGUAUGCACAAUGUGUGGAUAGCUUAAAGUGGAAGAACCAAGGUUGAAUUCAAUAGAAGUUUCAACAAUUCAUCAACUUUAAUAAGCAUAAUACAAACUCUAAGUCAAGUGAAAAAACAAAAAUUCAAUUUCUCCCAUUUCAAUUUGAAAAUUUCUCCUUAAUAACCAUGGAGAGUAGAAUAAAGACUUUUUUUUUUUAUUUAAAUUUUUAAAAAUUAAGCAAAAAGCAACUAAAUUACCAAAAUAACUUAGCAUUAAGAACUAUACUUACUUCCUCAACUCUCCCCCCAACCACGCUGAACAUUGUCCUCAAUGUGACAAAAGCGAUUGAAAAAUAGGGAGGAAGUGGUACCUCCUGAGUGACGUGGAGUGAUGCUGUGGAAAUGAUGGCUCAGCUGCCUCUCCUGUAGGAGGCUCCUGAUGAGGCAUAGGCUAAUCAACAAAAGGAGGGGCCUGUGAUGGCUCUGAUGAUUUGGGAAUAGCAUGCUCAGGAGCUGAUAUAAUGCCGAGAUGAUGCUGGAUCUGCCUCAGGAUGGUAGUGUGCUGGGCCUGAGUGGCAAGAAUCUGCUCCUACUUUUAAUCAUUCGAAAAGAUUAAGUUAGUUACAAUUUACAUAAUUUCAAGACCCAAAAUUACAAUCAAAUAAUUUACAAAACUCAAAAAUUAACAUAUUUAACAAAAUUACGGACUUUGGUGAAACUAAGUCCAUCUAACCCUUCUCUGAUCAGGCUUUUUGUGGCUCAAGGAGGUUGAUUUCCUCAUUUUCUGGCUUGAACGACUCAAUGAAUGGCUUGAGGCGAUGACCAUUGACUCUAAAGGUGUAUAUGCCAUUGGAAUUUAGUAAUUCCACCUCUCCAUUGAGAUGUACGUGGUGAAUAAUGAAAGGACCUAUCUACCUUGACUUGAGCUUCCUGGAAAGAUAUGGAGCCUUGAGUCAUAGAGUAGGACUCUUUGUCCUUUCUGCAAUUCUUUGUUGGAGAUUAGUUGAUCAUGCCACUUCUUCAUCCUCUGUUUUGCAACUUUGGAAUUGAUGUAAGCAUCAUUUCUUAAUUCCUCCAUCUCAUUAAGGUCUAAGCACCUCUUUGCCCCAGCUCUGAUGAAGUCCAUGUUCAACCUCUUGAUUGCCCACCAAGCCUUAUAUUCAACUUCCACAGGGAGGUGGCAUGCUUUGCCAUAGACGAGACGAUAGGGGGACAUGCCAAGAAUAGUCUUAUAAGCUGUUUUAUAUGCCCAUAAUGAAUCAUGUAGCUUAAUAGACCAAUCUUUUCUGCUUGUAAUCACCACUUUCAUCAGUAUGUUCUUUAUUUCCCUGUUUGCUAGCUCCACUUGCUCAGAAGUUUGAGGAUGAUAAGGUGUAGCUACCUUAUGCUUCACUCCAUACUUGGCUAAUAGAGUUUCAAAAGGCUUGUUGCAAAAAUGAGUACCUCCAUCACUGAUUAUGGCCUUGGGCACCCCAAAUCUCGAGAAGAUGUUCUCCUUAAGAAGUUUGAGAACCACCCUGUGAUCAUUAUGUUUACAGGGGAUUGCCUCCACCCAUUUGGAAACAUAGUCCACUCCCACCAAUAUAUAAGAGUUUCCAAAAGACAUUGGGAAAGGUCCCAUGAAGUCAAUACCCCAAACAUAAAAAAGAUCAACUAUAAGGAUGGGGUUCAUGGGCAUUUGGUUUCUUUUUGUAAGCUUCCCGAGUCUUUGGCAUCUAUCACAACUCCUACACAUGAUGUGGGAAUCUUUGAAAAGCGAUGGCCAAGUAAACCCUGAUUGCAAGACCUUCAUGGCUAUUUUCUGAGACGCAAAGUGGCCUCCACAGGCAUUCUCAUGGCAAUGGCUGAGGAUCCCUUGUUGCUCUUCUUCAAGGACACACUUCCUUAUGAUCUGAUCUGCACAAUACUUGAAAAGAAUGGGCUCUUCCCAAUAAUAAGCAUGAAUCUUUGCAAAGAAGUGCUUCCUGUCUUGCGCUUUCCACUCACUUGGAACUUCACCAGUAACCAAAUAGUUAGCAAUAUGAGCAUACUAAGGAGCUUUCUCUAGCAACAUAAGUGAUUCCUCAGGGAAGUCAUCAUUAAUAGGUAAUACAUGGGAAUUAUGUGCUACAGCCAACCUUGAAAGGUGGUCAGCUACCACAUUCUCCACCCCUUUCUUGUCUCUGAUUUGGAGAUCAAACUCUUGUAACAAAAGAAUCCAUCUAAUCAACCUUGCUUUUGCAUCUUGCUUUGUCAAGAAAUACUUCAAGGCCGAAUGGUCAGUGAAAACAAUGAUGAAAGACCCUACCAAAUAAGCACGAAACUUGUCUAAAGCAAACACCACAACUAACAGUUCUUUCUCUGUAGUUGUGUAGUUUCUUUGAGCCUCGUUCAAUGUUUUGCUUGCAUAGUAGAUCACAUAGGGCUUCCCACCUUCUCUUUGGCCAAGUACAGCUCCUAUAGCAAAGUCACUGGCAUCACACAUUACUUCAAAGGGUAAUUGCUAGUUAGGAGCCCUUACUAUUAGAGCAGUUGUCAAAAAUUGCUUCAAUUGAUCAAAACUCUUUUGACAUCUCUCAUCCUAGAAAAACUUAGCAUCCUUAGCUAAAACUUCACAAAGAGGCCUUGAAAGCUUAGAGAAGUCUUGUAUAAAUCUCCUGUAGAACCCUGCAUGGCCAAGAAAUUGCCUUACUCCUUUUAUAGUGGUUGGGGAUGGCAAUUUGGCAAUAAGUUCCACCUUUGCUUUAUCAACUUCAAUGCCUUUCUCGGAGAUGAUAUGGCCAAGAACAAUUCCUUGAUGUACCAUAAAAUGACAUUUCUCCCAGUUGAGCACCAAGUCUUUUUCAAUGCAUCUUUUAAGAACUGCUUCCAAAUUUACUAAGCAUUCUUCAAAUGUACCUCCAUAUAUGGUGAUAUCAUCCAUGAAAACCUCCAUAAUUCGCUCCACCAUAUCACUGAAGAUACUAAGCAUACAUCUCUGGAAUGUUGCAGGUGCAUUGCAUAAACCAAAAGGCAUUCUUCUAUAGGCGUAUGUUCCAAACGGACAUGUGAAAGUGGUCUUCUCUUGAUCUUCAACAUCUAUUUCAAUUUGGAAAUACCCUGAGUACCCGUCCAAGAAACAAUAGAAAGGAUGGCCAGAGACUCUCUCCAGCACCUGAUCAAUAAAUGGGAGUGGAAAAUGAUCUUUCCUUGUCACAACAUUCAAUUUCCUGUAGUCAAUACACAUCCUCCAACCUGAAGUGAGGCGUGUAGCAAUUUCUUCUCCUUUUUCAUUCUGAAUCACAGUAAUCCCUGACUUCUUUGGUACCACUUAAGUAGGACUCACCCAAGGGCUGUCAGAUAUGGGAUAAAUAAUACCCGCUUGGAGUAGCUUCAGUACCUCAGUUCGCACCACUUCUUGUAAAUGAGGAUUCAAUCUUCUUUGAGGUUGACGAAUUGGUUUAGCUUCUUCCUCCAUAUAUAUGUGAUGUGUACAAACCAAAGGACUGAUUCCUUUCAAGUCAGAUAUUUGCCAUCCUAUUGCUUUCUUGCACCUCUUAAGAACUUCAAGUAGAGAAAUCUCCUGAUGACUGGUAAGAGAUGAAGAUAUAACAACAGGACAUUGGUUAUUGUCUUCCAGGUAUGUAUAUUUUAACUCCAUGGGCAGAGGUUUCAAAUUGAGAUUCGGGAAUUCUUCUGUUACAUCAUCUUGUCCCUCCUCUUUAUCGAAUAAAGGUAGGAUCUCUUGGUUCCUUGUCCAACCUUGUAGAGUAGCAAGCACAUCAGCGGGUUCAGACAACCCUUCUUCAAGAUCCUCAAGACUUUCAUUCAACUCGUCUUGCAUAUUCUGAUCACAAUGCUCCUCCACUAGAGUGUCAAUAAUGCAUACCUCUUUUGGACCUUCUUCUUCUUCCGGAGUAAUUAGUUUCUUUGACAUAUGAAAGAUAUUAAGCUCAAGUGUCAUGUUGCCAAAUGUGAGUUGCAUAAGUCCAUUCCUACAAUUUAUGAUUGCAUUUGAAGUAGCAAGAAAUGACCUUCCAAAGAUGAUAGGAACAUAAUUAGCUUCCUUAACUAAAGGAUCAAUAUCAAGAACAACAAAAUCUACUGGAUAGUAGAAAUUAUCAACUUGAACUAAAACAUCCUCAAUUAUCCCCCUUGGAAUUUUCACUGAUCUAUCAGCUAAAGAUAGAGUGAUUGAUGUUGGCUUUAAUUCACCAAGUCCCAAUUGCUUAUAAACAGAAUAUGGUAGCAAAUUCACACUUGCUCCCAAAUCUAACAAAGCUUUUUCCACUACAUUUCCUCCAAUCAUAACUGAAAUGGUAGGACAUCCCGGAUCUUUGUACUUCAAAAGAGAUUUGCAUUGUAUGAUGGCACUAACUUGUUCAGUCAAGAAGGCUUUCUUAUUCACAGUCAACCCUCGUUUGAUAGUACAGAGGUCCUUUAGGAACUUGGCAUAUGUUGGAACUUGCUUAAUCAUGUCCAGCAAUGGAAUGUUGACCUUCACUUGCCUCAAUACUUGAAGGAUUUCUGAUGCAUUUUUUAUCCCUUUUUUCCCAUGCAAAGCUUGAGGAAAAGGUGGAGAUGUGUGUUUCUUCAUCAAUUCUUCCUUAAUAAGCUCUUUCUCCAGAUUUGCAUUCACUGUUGAAUCACGGUCCUCCUUCCCUUCACUGAUAUCUUUCUUUUUUCCUUUCAUUUCCUCCCUCUUCUUUGUCUCUUCUUCUUCAUUCUCUUCAACAUAUAGCUUGGGUGCUGGCGACUCAACCUUUUUACCACUCCUUAGAGUGAUCAAGGCUUUAACAUCUCUCACCUGUGAAGAUUCUCCCUCAUGAGUUUCCACUUCGUGGAUACCCUUGGGGUUUUGGUGAGGUUGAGAAGGAAAUCUACCCUUCUGUUGCACUGUGUUCAAAUUAGUGAGCCUUGAGAUUGAGUAUUGGAGAUUAUCUAUCUUCUGAGAUAAGUCAUUUUGCAUCCCAUCCAUCCUUUUAUUCAAAGUAUUCUCUACACUGUCAAUUCUUUGACUUAGUUGAGAGUUGAUGGAUUUUUGGUCUUCAACAAAAUCUCCCAUAACCUUGCUAAGAUUCACUAUUACUUGUUCAAGACUUGAAGCUUGUUGGGAUGGUUGAGAUGGUUGAGCCAGCUGUUGGUACUGAGGUGCUAUUGGCUUCCAUGAAAAAUUUGGAUGAUUCCUCCAACUUGAGUUGUAAGUAUUGCCAUACGAAGCAUUGCUAUUGGGCUUGAACUGUCCAAUGACAUUUGCUUGCUCUCCAUACAUUUCUCUAGCAACUGGAAUUGUAGGGCACUCCUCCACCAAGUGUUCAUAAGAUUGACAAAUAGAACAUGGCUUUACUUGCACUGGUGUUUCAGCAACAGCUUGCACUUCAUGCAUCUUUUUCAGUUCUAGCUCCUCCACUCUUCUUGUCAUAGCUGCAAAUUUUGCUUUCAUAUCAACAUCUUUAUUCAAGGUGUACAUCCCAGCCUUAGCAUGAAGAGCAUUUGGUUGAGACUUCAUCUUUCCCACUUCUCCUCUAUGCGGUUCAUCCCAUCCCCUUGAGACAUCAGCUACAUAACUCAAGAAAUCCAUAGCUUCCUCAGGAUUCUUACUCAUGAAAUCCCCUCCACACAUUGUUUCGAGGAGUUGCUUCAUUGAGGAAGACAUCCCAUCAUAGAAAUAACUCACCAACAGGCAUGUAUCAAAGCCAUGGUGAGAACAAGCAUUAAUGGCUUCCAUGUAUCUUUCCCAACACUCAUAGAAUUUCUCAUUCUCUUUAGCUGAGAAGUUUGAAAUUUGCCUUUUCAAGCCAUUUGUUCUGAGUAGGAAAGAACUUCUUGAGUUGUAAAUCAGUCCAAGAAUGGAUACUCCUUGGCCUUAAAGAAUUAAGCCAAAUCUUGGCCUUAUCCUUUAAAGUAAAAGGAAAUAGUUUAAGCCUCAUCAGGUCGAUAGAAGCUCCUCCCUCUCGGAAUGUAUUGCAAACAUCUUCAAAUUCCUUGAUAUGGGCAUAGGGAUUCUCACUUUCCAUUCCAUGGAAAGUUGGUAGAAGUGGCACAAUAUGGGGUCUGAUCACUAGCUACUUUGUAGGGGGCACUAUACAUGAUGGUGCACUCAUACGAGGUGGAUGCAUGCGGUCCCUCAUUGAUCUGAAUUCAUUGGGAUUGUCCUGAUGACCAUGGUGACUAUGCUGAUCCUCAGGUGUAGUUUCCAUGAUGUUCAAACUCAAUUCCAACUCCUUGUUAUGAGGUGUUUCAAGUUUAACAAGCCUUCCUCCACUAUCUCGUAUCCACUUUGGCAUACACAACUAGUAUCAACUGUAAAUAAAAAAAAAAGAAAAAACAAAAACAAAGCUACCAAAAAGAGUUCGAUUAACUAAAACUAAAUUAAAAGCUAUGCUAGACUAUAAACGAGUAAAACAAAAAAAACUAAAAGAGUUAGUAAAAUGACAGAAAACUCACCAAAUUUGUGAUGAAAACCACAAGUACACUGAAAUAAUAUCACUAUGAAGUUGGCACCUUCCCCGGCAAUGGCGCCAUUUGAUUCGUUCCCAAUUGGUGUCUCAGCUGAUUCAUGUCCAGCUGGUGCUCUUUGAUUGAGAGAGUAAUCAACAAAAUUUAUAACCUAUAUCACCAUGCAUUAGGAUAGCUUAGCUAAUAUAGCAUAGUGGCUCUAGGAUCGUUCUAUGGGAAGGGUUUUCAACUCACAACUGAUACUAAUUCAAAGGUAAAUUGGUGCUUUUAUUAUUACUACCCAAAAAGUGCUAUUUUGCGCUUUUAAUUCAUUAUGUUUUAAGCACUUUUGUGUAGUAGUUCUCCAUUUUUAUUCCAAUUGGCAUGUUAAGGACCUAGCAAUGACUUCUAAUCAUAUUUGUGGCUAGUUUUAGUGUUUUGACAGCUUUUUGGAUCAUUAAGACAAGCCAAGUAAAGGAGAGAAGCAAAGAGGAAAACAAAGUGAAGAAAAUAGAGGACAGCAGCUUCAGUCUUCCUUUGCACUUUUGGAGCACUUUCCGAAGUCCAUUUUCUACAUGCUAUAUACCAUUUCAAAGCUUUGGAAGUCAAGAAUCCAACGCUUCAAAUCUUGUACGAUUUGGGGCUGAAAUGAGGAAGAUAUGGCCUUCGGAAGACAACUGCAUCAAGCAAGUGCGAAUUUCGCACAGCAGCUCGAGCAAGUGCGAAUUUCGCACAGCAGCCCAAGCAAGUGCGAAUUUCGCACACCAGCCAUGCAAGUGCGAAUUUUGCACCAGCUCAUGUGUCUUUGGUGUGAAAUCUCCUCUGUUCUGCCGACUCCACAUGAGAUCUUUUCUUUUGUAUUUUUUUGAUGAAAAUUCCUUUCUUAUCCCUGUAAUUAGCCAAUCACAGGCUUUGCUUUUGUAAAGACUAUAAGAGGGGUGGAAAUCAUCUCUCGAGACACGAACAUAUGUUAUGUUUUACACUUAGUAAAAUACAGGGCUCUCUUUGCUUUCCUUUUCUUUCUACUAUUUUCUUUUUCUUGGAAGCCAAAUAACCUCUGAGGAUGUUUUCCCAGAGGAUGAGAGGCUAAACUUUUGGUUUCUUAGAUUGAAGGAAGCUAGGUGAAAGGUCCAGAUGCUAAAGUGGAAAACUCUCGUGCAUUAAAUACAGGUAGUUGGAGUUCAUAAAUGGCUUUUAAAUCUAAAGUUUUGUUUUAAAUCCUUUAGAAUCACUUUGAAUGGCCAAUACAUGUUAAGCUUUAGGUCUCUGUGGAUACUUAUUGCUAGAUCCACAUCAGACCAUUAGUUAUCAUGUACGAGCCAUUGGAAAGUGACUCAAGGUGAAGACCCAUAGUGUCUAAAGCCAUUAAUGGAACUUGACUACCAUUUCUAUUGACUUUUUAUGGAUUAAAUCUUCAUUGUUAAACCUAUACCGGUUUGGGAAACAACCAUCCUUUAUGUUGUUGUCCCCAAUACGAGGAGAAAAAUUCGGAAUUUCCUACUUUGCAUUCUGAACUUGAUCCUCGCAACCUUUAGCUCCGGGAGACUUUCUUUUUUCCAUUUUUACCUAGUUCUAUAUUAGUUUAGUUUCAAACACCACUUUCAAAACAAAUUUUAUUUUCUUUUAAACUUUAAGUUUUUGACAAAGGAAAUCAUCAGAUUCAAUUUCUAAUCUUGAGUAUAUCACUGGUAGAAUGAAAACCCAUCCCAGAGUUUGACCCUAGAGCUGCUAUACUAUAGUAGCUUUGCUACGCUAGUAUGAGGUCAUAGGAUUUAUAUAUAUUUUUUAUUAAAACACCCGACUGGGCAUGAAUCAAAAUGGCGCCGUUACCGGGGAUGGUGCCACGAUACAGUGAUACAACUUUUUAGAGGCUACUUGUGAUUUCCAUCACAAGUUUGGUGAAUUCCUUUUUCACUAACUUCAUUUCCCUUCUUUUAAUUGUAGAAUUCCUUUUGUUAAGUUUAUUUUCAUUUUCUUUCUAACCUUAACUUUCUUCUAGCUUUCUUUUGUUUUUGUUGUCUUUGUUUUGUUUUCAGGUAAGUAGUAACUUGAGCAUGCCCUAUUGGAUUCGGGACCAAGAGGGAAGACUAGUAAGGAUAGAGAAUCCUCAAGACAAAGAGUUGGAUAUCUGUGUAAACAUCAUGGACCCUCCACAAGAGGAUCAGAAUUCUCAACAUGAUCAAGGGGGUAAUCCAAAUGCAUAUCUAUCCAUGAGGGAUAGGAUGCACCCACCAAGGAUGUGUGCACCCUCAUGCAUCGUACCUCCUCUUGAGCAGCUCAUUAUAAGGCCCCAUAUAGUGCCCCUCCUACCAAAUUUCCAUGGAAUGGAGAGUGAGAACCCAUAUGCCCACAUCAAGGAGUUUGAGGAGGUGUGCAAUACUUUUAGAGAGGGAGGAGCUUCAAUAGACUUGAUGAGACUCAAGCUAUUCCCUUUUACUUUGAAGGACAAGGCAAAAAUAUGGCUUAACUCCUUAAGGCCAAGGAGCAUAAGGAAUUAGGUUGAUCUUCAGGCCGAAUUUUUGAAGAAAUUUUUCCCCACCCAUAGGACCAAUGGGUUGAAGAGACAAAUCUCAAACUUUUCUGCGAAAGAAAAUGAGAAGUUCUAUGAAUGUUGGGAAAGGUAUAUGGAGGCCAUCAAUGCUUGUCCUCAUCAUGGCUUUGAUACAUGGCUCUUGGUGAGCUAUUUUUAUGAUGGGAUGUCUUCCUCCAUGAAGCAAAUUCUUGAAACCAUGUGUGGGGGAGAUUUUAUGAGUAAGAAUCCAGAAGAAGCCAUGGACUUUUUAAGUUAUGUAUCUGAGGUAUCAAGAGGAUGGGAUGAGCCCAACUCAAGGGAAAUGGGAAGGACAAAAGCUCCUGUAAAUCCAAAGGGUGGAAUGUACAUGUUAAGUGAAGACAUGGACAUGAAAGCUAAGGUGGCAACAAUGGCAAGGAGGUUGGAAGAACUUGAGUUGAAAAAAAUGCAUGAACUCCAAGCCAUUUCCGAGACACAAGCCCAUGUCAUGCCAUGCACCAUUUGCCAAUCAUGUGAUCAUGUGGUAGAUGAGUGCCCAACCAUCCCAGCUAUGAGGGAGACGUUAGGUGAUCAAGCCAAUGUUGUGGGGCAAUUUAGGCCUAACAACAAUGCACCUUAUGGAAACACCUAUAAUUCAAGUUAGAGAAAUCAUCCAAAUUUUUCUUGGAAACCAAGGCCACCUCUAUACCAACCACAAGCCCAAACCCAAGCACCUCAACAAACCUCUUCAGUGGAACAAGCCAUUGUGAACCUAAGUAAAGUCAUGGGUGACUUUGUGGGUGAACAAAAGGCAAUCAACUCCCAAUUGCACCAAAAGAUUGAAAAUAUUGAGAGUUCUCAAAUUAAGAGAAUGGAUGGGAUGCAAAAUGAUCUAUCUCAGAAGAUAGAUAAUAUUUAAUACUCCAUCUCUAGGCUUACCAACCUCAACACAGUGAAUGAGAAAGGAAAGUUUCCCUCUCAACCAAGCCAAAAUCCGAAGGGUGUUCAUGAAGUUGAAACCCAAGAUGGGGAGUCUUCAAAGUUGAGGGAGGUCAAAGCUGUGAUCACCUUAAAGUGUGGGAAGGAGGUUGAUCAACCCUUGCCUAAGGUGAAGCAAGAUGAAAAACUCAUGUCAAAGAGAACCUUGGUUAAAGAGAGCAAUAACCAAGAAGAGAGGAGUGGGAAGAAAAAUGCAUCCAAAUCAAGCAUUGAAGAAGAGCCAAGGAUAGUGAUUAAAGAGGAUAUGAUGAAGAAACAUAUGCCUCCCCCUUUUCCUCAAGCUUUACAUGGAAAGAAGGGAAUCAAGAAUUCAUCAUAAAUUCUUGAAGUUUUGAGACAAGUGAAGGUGAAUAUACCCUUACUUGAUAUGAUCAAGCAAGUCCCCACAUAUGUAAAAUUUUUAAAGGACUUGUGCACGGUCAAGAGAGGGUUACAUGUGACAAAGAAGGCAUUCCUCACUGAGCAAGUAAGUGCCAUCAUUCACAGUAAGUCUCCAGUUAAGUACAAAGAUCCGGGAUGUCCCACCAUUUCAGUCAACAUUGGAGGGACACAUGUGGAGAAGACUUUACUAGACUUGGGGGCAAGUGUGAAUUUGCUCCCAUACUCUGUGUAUAAGCAACUGGGACUUGGAGGAUUGAAGCCCACAACCAUCACUCUCUCCUUAGCUGAUAGGUCAGUCAAAAUCCCAAGGGGGGUGAUAGAGGAUGUUCUAGUUCAAGUGGACAAAUUCUACUAUCCUGUGGAUUUUGUUGUGCUUGAUACUGAUCCCACUAUUAAGGAAGCAAAUUAUGUGCCAAUCAUCCUUGGGAGACCUUUCCUAGCUACCUCCAAUGCCAUCAUCAAUUGUAGGAAUGGGGUGAUGCAGCUCACAUUUGGAAACAUGACCUUGGAAUUAAACAUAUUCCACCUAUGCAAGAGGCAUCUUCACCCAGAAGAGGAGGAAGGAUUGGAGGAAGUGUGCUUGAUCAACACUUUGGUUGAAGAGCAUUGUGACAAGAAUUUAGAAGAGAGCCUGAAUGAAAGCCUUGAAGUGCUUGAAGAAGGGUUACCUGAACCCUCUGAUGUGCUAGCCAUCAUGUCUCCUUGGAGGAGACGGGAAGAGAUCUUACCACUGUUCAAUAAGGAGGACUCACAAGGAGCAGCUACGGAGGACCCUCCAAAGCUUGUUUUGAAGCCACUUCCUGUUGAUUUGAAGUAUGCAUAUUUGGAGGAAGAUGAGAAAUGUCCAGUGGUGAUUUAUUCAACUCUCACAAGUGAUCAAGAGGAUAGUCUUUUGGGAGUCCUCAGAAAAUGCAAGAAAGCCAUUGGAUGGCAAAUUUCUGAUCUGAAAGGGAUUAGCCCUUUGGUGUGCACCCACCAUAUCUACAUGGAGGAAGAUGCAAAACCAGUGAGGCAGCCCCAGAGGAGGUUGAAUCCUCACAUACAAGAAGUGGUAAGGGGUGAAGUUCUGAAGCUACUUCAAGCAGGGAUCACAUUUCCCAUUUCAGAUAGCUUGUGGGUGAGCCCAACCCAAGUAGUCCCAAAGAAAUCUGGAAUUACUGUGAUCCAAAAUGAGAAAGGGGAGGAAGUCUUUACACGUCCUACCUCAGGAUGGAGGGUGUGUAUAGACUACAGGAGGUUGAAUUCAGUGACUAAGAAGGACCAUUUCCCAUUGCCUUUCAUGGACCAAGUCCUUGAGAGAGUCUCAGGGCAUCCUUUCUACUGUUUUUUGGAUGGUUACUCGAGGUACUUCCAAAUAGAGAUUGAUUUGGAAGAUCAAGAAAAGACAACCUUCACUUGCCCCUUUGGUACUUUUACCUAUAGGAGGAUGCCCUUUGGUCUAUGUAAUGCACUUGCAACUUUCCGAAGAUGUAUGCUAAGCAUCUUUAGUGAUAUGGUGGAGCGCAUCAUGGAUGUCUUCAUGGAUGACAUUACUGUGUAUGGAGGUUCUUAUCAGGAGUGUUUGUUGCAUUUAGAAGUUGUUCUCCAAAGAUGUAUUGAGAAAGACCUAGUGCUAAAUUGGGAGAAGUGCCAUUUUAUGGUACAACAAGGAAUUGUCUUAGGACAUAUAAUCUCCAAGAAUGGCAUUGAGUUAGAUAAGGCAAAUGUGGAGCUAAUUGUUAAGUUACCACCUCCCACAAAUGUUAAAGGAAUUAGGCAAUUCCUAGGACAUGCCGGGUUCUAUAGGAGGUUCAUUAAGGAUUUCUCAAAAAUCUCAAAACCUCUUUGUGAACUCUUGGUAAAGGAUGCCAAGUUUGUGUGGGAUGAGAAAUGUCAGAAGAGUUUUGAGGAACUAAAGCAAUUCCUCACAAUUGCACCAAUAGUGAGAGCCCCAAAUUGGAAUUACCUUCUGAGGUAAUGUGUGAUGCAAGUGAUCUUGCUAUGGGGGCUGUUUUGGGGCAAAGAGAAAAUGGAAAGCCCUAUGUGAUUUAUUAUGCAAGCAAAACUUUGAAUGAGGCUCAAAGGAACUACACAACUACUGAGAAAGAGUUGUUGGCAGUAGUUUUUGCCUUGGAUAAGUUUCGUGCCUAUUUGGUAGGGUCCUCUAUAGUGGUGUUCACUGACCAUUCCGCUUUGAAGUACUUGCUAACCAAGUAAGAUGCCAAGGCAAGAUUGAUAAGAUGGAUCUUUUUGCUUCAAGAAUUCAAUCUCCAAAUCCGGGAUAAAAAGGGAGUAGAAAAUGUGGUAGCUGACCACUUGUCAAGACUUGUGAUAGCACAUGACUCACAUGGUCUACCUAUCAAUGAUGACUUCCCUGAGGAGUCUCUCAUGUCAAUAGAGGUAGCUCCAUGGUAUUCUCACAUUGCAAAUUACUUGGUUACUGGAGAAGUUUCAAGUGAGUGGAGUGCCCAAGACAAGAGGCAUUUCUUUGCUAAGAUCCAUGCCUAUUAUUGGGAGGAGCCUUUUCUCUUCAAAUAUUGUGCGAUCAAAUCAUAAGGAAAUGUGUUCCUGAACAAGAGCAAUCAGGAAUUCUAUCCCAUUGUUAUGAUAGUGCAUGUGGAGGUCAUUUUGCUUCCUAGAAAACAACUAUGAAAGUGAUCCAAUCAGGUUUUUGGUGGCCCUCUCUUUUCAAGGACGCCCACACUAUGUGCAAGGGAUGUGAUUGGUGUCAAAGGCUUGGGAAGCUAACACGCCGAAAUAUGAUGCCCUUGAACCCCAUUUUGAUAGUGGAUGUCUUUGAUGUUUGGGGGAUAGACUUCAUGGGACCAUUUUCAAUGUAGUUUGGACACUCCUACAUUUUGGUGGGAGUGGAUUAUGUCUCUAAGUGGGUAGAAGCAAUCCCAUGUAGGAGCAAUGAUCAUAAGGUGGUUCUUAAAUUCCUCAAGGAGAACAUCUUUUCAAGAUUUGGAGUGCCUAAGGCCAUUAUCAGUGAUGGAGGAACCCACUUUUGCAAUAAGCCUUUUGAGACUCUUCUAGCCAAUGGGGUCAAGCACAAGGUAGCUACACCUUUUCACCCUAAAAAAAGUGGCCAAGUUGAGUUAGCCAACCGGGAAAUCAAGAAUAUACUGAUGAAGGUGGUAAAUGUGAAUAGAAAGGAUUGGUCUAUUAAGCUCCUGGAUUCAUUAUGGGCUUAUAGGACCGCUUACAAGACCAUUAUUGGAAUGUCUCCUUAUCGCCUUGUUUAUGGCAAAGCGUGCCAUCUUCCAAUAGAGGUCGAAUAUAAAGCAUGGUGGGCAAUCAAGAAGCUCAACAUGGAUUUGACAAGAGCCGAGUUGAAGAGAUGUUUGGAUUUGAACGAAUUGGAGGAAAUGAGGAAUGAUGCUUACCUCAAUUCAAAAAUUGCAAAAGAGAGGUUGAAGAAAUGGCAUGAUCAGUUUGUAAAUCAGAAGAAUUUUGCCAAGGGGCAAAGAGUCUUGCUUUAUGACUUUAAGCUUCAUCUUUUUCCGGGAAAAUUGAAAUCAAGGUGGACGGGUCCUUUCAUAAUUCAUGACGUGCAAUCAAAUGGAGUAGUGGAACUACUCAACUUCAAUAGCACUCGAACUUUCAAAGUGAAUGGGCAUCGUCUCAAGCCCUAUAUGGAGUCAUUUUCCCGAGACAAGGAGGAAUUCAUCCUCCUUGAUCCACCUCUAACAUGAAAACACUCAGUUCAUGGUUGAACUUAGUCUCUUCAAAGACUAAAAAGUUCAUCCUCUUUUUGUUCCUUUUUCUUUUGUAUAUGCAUGUUUUGAUUUUUAUUUUUGCCCUUAAGUUCAUUCUAAUGUGGUUUAAAUUGGUUUUUGUGUUAACAUGUAGGUAGGAAAGCUUGAAGAAUGAAAACAAGGGAAAAUAGGGGAGAAUAGCCAAGACACAGCAAAAUUCGCACCACCCAAUCCUCUGGUGCGAAAUUCGCACAACACAUCCCCCUUGUGCGAAUUCGCUUUUAUGACCAAUUUUCAAAAGCAUGUUCUCGGUCCCUACCCAAAAUCUCAGUGCGAAAAGGCACAGGAAUGCAAACCUUGUGCGAAGUUGCCUUUAUGACUAUUUAAAAAAAAAAAAAGCAUGCUCUCUGUCUUGGAGAACCACAGGAAUGCGAAAAUUUCGUACUUCACUAUUCCUUGUGCAAAAUUCGCAUUUCUCUUUAAAAGCCAUUUUCUCUUCUUCAAUUCUAAGCUUGUUCUUCUUCAAUUCUCUCAACACCUCUCUUCCGAUCACCCCUUUCCAUCCACAAGGUCCUCUCCUUCAUCAUCCCCCAUCCUCAACCCCACCAUGGCAGCCCAUCUCAAGAGCUUCAUUCCAUAGCCGCGACCAACACUAUUCACAACAGUCCGCACCUUCCAUUUUCAACUUUUUCUCCUCCUUCCACCAUCAAAAACCCUUCAUUUAUUCACUUAACACUCCAAAUUCAUCCCUAAACCCAACCCAACCUUGAUUUUUCAAAAUCAAAACCUCAAGCAUAGAUUUCAAAGCCACGGUUUCUUCAUAAGAAACCCAUUGCCGCCGGCUAUGGGAGCUUCAAAAUCUCUCAUUCUCUUCUUGUAAAGCUCCCAUUUCCAAGCUUAGCCACCAUGAAAAACUCCUUUCCUACCUCAGCCAGCAUUUCCCACCCUCAAAAACCAAGAAUUGUUGCCAUUUGAAACCACCACAAUUUCGCAAUUGCACGGGUGAAUAGUGCAUUGUGCGAAAUUCGCACAACACAUUUCCCUUGUGCGAAAUUUGCACCACCCUUCCCUUGUGUAAAAUUUUGAGGUUCUUCAUCCCCACCCUCCUUAAAUCCCAAGCCUCUGAGCCUCAUUUCUUUGCUCUAUUAUGCCUAAGACCCGAGGAGGCUAUGCCUCAGCUCCCUAGAGCAAUCAGAGAGCUGCCCCUAUGUGGGCCCCAAUAGAUGCACCCCCACAUUUACCUGAUUCUGUCCCUCAACGCAGAUACCAUACGAGGAGAGCAACUGCCACGCCUGUGGCCCCUACUCAUAUUCCACCUAGGAGUCCUCCUAUAAAGAAGGCCAAGACUUCAGAGCUAGGAGAGUCCUCCAGAGCACCUCGAGAUUCACAGUCUCAGCCUCCUCCCACCAGGCGCCCUAUCCUCGCCAGCUCGCCCAUUGAGGGCAACUCCGAUUGCUGAUCGAGAGCAUUCCAUGUCGAGGCAUAUUUUGAUCACUCUAUUUUGCGACAGCAGCCUGAGUUGGGGGAUUCAUACCGCCUACUUGAGAGGUACCAUCUUGUACCCUUUAUGACUCCGCCACAGUUCUUUUAUCCUCGAGUAGCUUUAGACUUUUACCAGUCUAUGACUACUCGUGGCGUCCCGGUACCAGCCUCGAUCCUUUUUACCAUUGAUGGACGCUAGGGUAUUUUGGUGGCUAGACAGAUUGCCGAGGCUUUCCAUAUCCCUUAUGCACCAGCAGAUCCCGCUGCAUUUAGACGUUGGGCCCCACUUUCUGAGUGGGACAUGGUUCGUAUACUAUCUCGAGGGACAUCUUCAGAGAGGAUCAUUAUGAGGAAGGAGCUUCCCCCUGGGAUGCUCCUAGUUGAUGUGGUGUUUCGCAACAAUCUUUUUCCUCUUCAGCAUAGAGUGUAGAGGCGAGGGGCCAUUCUAGAGGCGUUAUUCCGUAUCUCUGAGGGCUACUACUUUGGCCCCCAUCAUUUGAUUAUGGCCGCCCUCCUCCAUUUUGAGGAGAAGGUGCAUAAGCGGCGUCUUACGAGGGCAGACACCAUUCUUUUACUUUUCCCUCGGCUGCUAUGCCAUGUUCUGGCGCAUAUGGGUUCCCUGCAGACCCUCAUUCUUAGCCCCGCCGCCAUUGUCCAGAGAGCUUCUCUCUUGACCAAUGGAAUCAGGUAUGGCUCCAUCAGCAUUCCCCAGAACUUCUUGAGCCAAGGGAAGUCCCUCCACAACCUUUACCAUCUAUAUCUGCUCCGUCUACUUCAGUUCCCUCAGAGCCCGUACCAGAGGCAGCAUCGUCUGACACCCCACCUGCUGUUCCUCCUACCUCAGAGCCACCUAUUACUAUCCUUGGUUCAGAGUAUCGUGACUUGCUCGCUUCUUUCUAGACUCUGACCACUACUUAGACGACUAUUAUGGAGCGGAUGGACCACUUCCAGCUUCGGUAGGACCAGCAGACUCUCAUUCUCCGUGAGAUUUAGCAGCACCUCGUUUUUUGCCACCAGCUCCACCUGUUGCUCCUGCGCCCUCAGAGCCUUCUGCUCCAGCUGAUGAUUUUGCUCCAGCUGAUGAUGCUACACCUGUAGCGGUACCUUCCACAGUUGCAGCGGAGGACCCCUCCUAUCCAUCAGAAGAGCCUACUACUUGAUCAUACGAUCACUCCUCUUCUUUUUUUGUUUUUAUUUUGUAUCUAUAUUCUAUGUUUUUGGAUGUCAUAUAUAUUUUGGAUGUGAUAUACUGACAUUGGAUGUAUUCCAUGUUUAUCUUGUAUAUUGUACUCUCUCAGUUUAUAUAGACAUCUUCCUUUUUUGUGUAUUUUAGCUAUUCCUUUUUAUUUCCUCUACUCAUCACUCUUAUCAUUUCUUUUUCUUUUGCAACAUGUGGUUUCUCCUGUUCAUUCAGAGUCCCUUACUAUCAGGAAGUAUCACUUCCUCCCUUUUAUUAUCACUUGCUUUUAGAACAUUGGGGACAAUGUUCAUCCUAGUUGGGGAGAGAGUUGAGGAAGUAAUUUGUUGAAUUUUUGGUUAAGUUAUUUUGCUAACAAUUUUUUUGCAAACUCUCUUUGUUUUCUCAAAGAUAAAUUCUCAAAAGUAAAUGGGAGAAAUUAAAUUCUUAUUGCCAUAGUCUCAGAGUUUGUAUUAUGCUUAUUAAAGUUGAUAAAUUGUUGAAGCUCCUUUUGAUUUCAAUCUUAAGUCUUCCACUCUAAUCUUUUCACACACUGAACACAUUAGAUUCCAGUUAUAAGAUGGAAAACUUUCUCACCCCCCUAAACUUAGGAAAUUUUUGACUUGGUGCCUUUGACCUCAUUCUAUUAGUGUUGGGACACCUUAUAAAAGGCCAAUGUGUCUUAUGAAAAAUUUGCUUCAAUUUCUUUGAAACCCGAGCAAGGUCCGAGGGGUAUAUGGUGAAAAUCUUUGAAGCUUGGUGCCCUAAGCCUUUAUUGGUUGGGAGUCACCGACCUCACUGCUCAUUACAUGGGUGGAUGGGUGGAGAGUAAAAAAAAAAAAAAAAAAAAAGAAGGGUGCGUUCUUAGCCUUUUAUAUGGGGGUUAGAGUUGCUAAAGUUAGAGAAAAACCUUAGUUGGGGGGAGAAUGUAGUUUGACAUACUAUAACUGGAAACUAAGCACCUUAACACUUAGAUUUUUAUGGAAAAUUAAGAGUUGGUCCUUUGGGAGUGGAAAUUAUUUUGAUACUCAAAUUUGCAUAAUGCCCACUCUUUAUAUGUUGUGAUAGGUAAGUUAUUUGAUGACUCUUGUUGAUGAUUGAGUUUUAUAUCCUUGACUUGCCAUGUGAGAGUUUGAUCCAAUCAUGCCACUUGAUUAUUUUUUGGAGUGAUCAACAUGAUUUUGUAAAUUAUUAUAUUAUCUAUUUUUCUUUAUUUUUCUCUCCUUCAUUGCUCAGGGACUAGCAAUAUGUCAGUUGGGGGGAGUGAUUACUACCCAAAAAGUGCUAUUUUGCGUUUUUAAUUCAUUAUGUUUUAAGCACUUUUGUGUAGUAGUUCUCCAUUUUUAUUCCAAUUGGCAUGUUAAGGACCUAGCAAUACUUCUAAUCAUAUUUGUGGCUAGUUUUAGUGUUUUGACAGCUUUUUGGAUCAUUAAGACAAGCCAAGUAAAGGAGAGAAGCAAAGAGGAAAACAAAGUGAAGAAAAUAGAGGACAGCAGCUGCAGUCUUCCUUCACACUCUUGGAGCACUUUCCGAAGUCUAUUUUCUAUAUGAUAUAUACCAUUUCAAAGCUCAGGAAGUCAAGAAUCCAACGCUUCAAAUCGUGUACGAUUUGGAGCUGAAAUGAGGAAGAUAUGGCCUUCGGAAGACAACUGCAUCAAGCAAGUGCGAAUUUCGCACAGUAGCUCAAGCAAGUGCGAAUUUCGCACAGUAGCUCAAGCAAGUGCGAAUUUCGCACAACAGCCCAAGCAAGUGCGAAUUUCGCACACCAGCCAUGCAAGUGCGAAUUUCGCACUAGCUCAUGCAUCUUUGGUGCAAAAUCUCCUCUGUUCUGCCGACUCCACAUGAGAUCUUUUCUUUUAUAUUUUUUUGAUGAAAAUUCCUUUCUUAUCCCUGUAAUUAGCCAAUCACAGGCUUUGAUCUUGUAAAGACUAUAAGAGGGGUGGAAAUCAUCUCUCGAGACACGAACAUAUGUUAUGUUUUACACUUAGUAAAAUACAGGGCUCUCUUUGCUUUCCUUUUCUCUCUACUAUUUUCUUUUUCUUGGAAGCCAAACAACCUCUAAGGAUGUUUUCCCAGAGGAUGAGAGGCUAAACUUUUGGUUUCUUGGAGUGAAGAAAUCUAGGUGAAAAGUCCAGAUGCUAAAGUGGAAAACUCUCGUGCAUUAAAUACAGGUAGUUGGAGUUCAUAAAUGGCUUUUAAAUCUAAAGUUUUGCUUUAAAUCCCUUAGAAUCACUUUGAAUGGCCAAUACAUGUUAAGCUUUAGGUCUCUGUGGGUACUUAUUGCUAGAUCCACAUCAGACCAUUAGUUAUCAUGUAUGAGCCAUUGGAAAGUGACUCAAGGUGAAGACCCAUAGUGUCUAAAGCCAUUAAUGGAACUUGACUACCAUUUCUAUUGACUUUUUAUGGAUUAAAUCUUCAUUGUUAAACCUAUACCGGUUUGGGAAACAACCAUCCUUUAUGUUGUUGUCCCCAAUACGAGGAGAAAAAUCUGGAAUUUCCCACUGAUUACUACCUAAAAAGUGAUAUUUUGCACCUUUAAUUCAUUAUGUUUUAAGCACUUUUAUGUAGUAGUUCUCCAUCUUUAUUCCAAUUGGCAUGUUAAGGACCUAGCAAUGACUUCUAAUCAUAUUUGUGGCUAGUUUUAGUAUGUUGACAGCUUUUUGGAUCAUUAAGACAAGCCAAGUAAAGGAGUAAAGCAAAGAGGAAAAACAAGCCAAGUGAAGAAAACAGAGGACAGCAGCUACAGUCUUCCUUCUCACUUUUGGAGCACUUUCCGAAGUCUAGUUUCUACAUGCUAUAUACCAUUUCAAAGCUCAGGAAGUCAAAAAUCCAAUGCUUCAAACCGUGUAUGAUUUGGAGCUGAAAUGAGGAAGAUAUGGCCUUCGAAAGACAACUACUCCAGGCUUGUGCGAAAUUCGCACAACACCUUCCAAAUUCGUACCAGCCCAUGCGUGGUGCGAAUUCUCCUCUGUUUUUGCCGACUCCACUUUAGAUCUUUUCUUAUGUAUUUUUUGAUGUAAUUUCCUUUCUUAUCCUUGUAACUAACCAAUCACAAGCUUUGCUUUUGUAAAGACUAUAAGAGGGGUGGAAAUCAUCUCUCGAACGUGUGUUACAUUUUACACUUAGUGAAAUACAGAGCUCUCUCGUUUUCCUUUUCUCUCUACUAUUUUCUUUUUCUUGGAAGCCAAACAACCUCUGAGGAUGUUUUCCCAGAGGAACUUUUAGUUUCUUUGAGUGAAGGAAGCUAGGUGAAAAGUCCAGAUUCUAAAGUGGAAAACUAUCGUGCGUUAAAUACAGGUAGUUGGAGUUCAUAAAUGGCUUUUAAAUCUAAAGUUUUGCUUUAAAUCCCUUAAAAUCAUUUUGAAUGGCCAAUACAUGGUAAGCUUUAGGUCUCUGUGGAUGCUUAUUGUUAGAUCCAUAUCAGUCCAUUAGUUAUCAUGUACGAGCCAUUGGAAAGUG